UACGCAUGGUCGUUUUUUGAUGACUUCGAAUGGGAUGCUGGUUACACAGUUGGGUUUGGCCUAACAUUGGUUGAUGUCAAGGAUAAUCUGAAAAGAUACCUCAAGUAUUCUGCCUAUUGGUACAAGAUGUUCCUCCUACACUGAUAUGCUGGUUUAUGGAUUGAUCCAUCACAAGCCUGCAUCUCGAUCUAUGUACUCCAAAUAAAUUAAGCUGUUUCUGUUUUAAUUAAUUUCAGUCUUACCAAUAAUCUAUGCAUGUAUUUCAUCUAUCUAUAUAUCUACAAAUUAGUCAACACGUAUUUCAAAUAGUUUCUAUAACUCUCGUUAAUAAGAAUAUAUAAAUCGGAGUAGAUUCUACGCACCAAAGUGUAUUUGUACUAUUAAUGUGCAAAUCUUUAAAUCGUCGUAUGCUAAGAUCCAAUGAAGACUAGAGACCCUAAAUUUCUUGAUUUCAUUUUCAUUUUUGAUCCGAUCAAAUUAAACGCCCAUCAUAAGAGUGUCUCGUAUUCGACCCCAGGUCCUCACCUUUUGUCUUCUGUGUUAGAAACACCUAGGACUAUUUUUUUGGGUUUCAGUUUUGUUAACGGUAUUAGAAUACAUGCAUGAUAAUGCGAUGUGAAUGACCGGAUAAAAAUAUUGCAUAUUAGUUGCUCGGUUCACUCGCAUCUUGGUGCGUAGAAGAAUUUUCGUGAAUAAACUAGGGUAAUGACUUGUUCUAGUCCUUUUGGUUUUGUUAGUUUGCAUUUUCUUUUUAUACAUCGUUUGAACUCUAUGCAUUUUUGUUGAAUGCCGUAAAUUGUGCAUCAUGAAUGUUCAGUUUUCCUGUAGUGAUGGUAGUUUCAUUUAGGUUGAUUUUGGGUCACCUGGCAUGACUUAUUUUAUUGAUUGCGCUUGCGGCAAGUCAUGUUUGUAAUUGCCAUUCUUGUUUGGUAUAAAAGACUUAACAUCCAUGAUUCAAGAAAAAUAAUAUAUCCGGCUAGUUUUCUGUUUAUAUACUAAGCAAGUUUAAUUAUUUCAUGGAAUAAAAACUUAGAAAGGGUGUGGCUAAAACACUGUUGACAAUAGAAAUGAUUUGUGACCAGCUGCUAACCAAGGUCAGUUGCAACUGUCACAGCCUAUUCUCUAUACUAAGAGCAUCUUUACCAAUACUAGCAGUUUUUGAGUUAAAUUUUAGUCAAAUUAACUAAAAUGUCAUUUUGGCUAGCGACAUUAGAAAUACGUCUGCAUCAAUGUUCUCUACUUUAGCUAGUAUUAAAUUAAUGUUUUUUUAUUUUUAUUUUAUUUUUUUAUUUUUAUUUUUUAACAAAGGACAUUAGCGCCUAUUUUUAUUGUUCACAACUUGAGAGUAGAUACAACAACAUGAACACGAUCCGCCCGCAAGGGCUAUGUAAGAAGUGAUCAAUCCUGCAAAACUACCUAGUAGACACUAAGCAAUCUUUAUGCCGAAAAAAACCAAGGGGUGAAGCACUAUGAUCAAUCAAUAUUGUCUUGGUAGCAACCAAAUCAAGUAACCAACCACCAAGACACAAGCUAAGAGAAAGGUACAAGUCCUCAACCUAUCAUUAUUAACUAUUUUUGAGACCACCCUAUGCAAAGGGGCAACCCCAGAGCAUCAAAAUAACCUAAUUAUAGACCGAAGCCAAUGCCUAAUUAAUAUUAUUAUUUAAAUAAAGAUUAAAUAGUUUAUAUGUAUUAUAUAUCACAAAAAAUAUCUGAAAAGGAAGGCAUUAUAGAGAGCUUCAUCUCGCUCUUUAUAUUUAGCUAGUGUGAUAGUUAAAAGUCAUAAUAUCUAAACUUUGACUAGUUUGCUAUAGCUUCUAAAAUACCAAAAAAACUAAAAUAGAGAGUUUGAUAAACAUGCUCUAAAGCCAUGAACAAUAUUUCCCAAAUUGAAGUAUGAUUUUGUAUCCCCAUUUCUGUUAGUUUCAGCCACUGCCCCCACUAUAUGUUCCUAACUGAGUCAUUGCCCCUAUAUAUGUCUAGGAUUAGGAUCCUCUCCUUGGCUGAUCCCGAUCCUUGGUUGUCCUUGACUUCCAAUCUCAACCGUCAAUUGGAAAUCCAAUGGUGAAGAACAUGUCCAACUUAGCAAAAUGACAAUAAAUGAUGCAAAAAAUAAAUGACAUCAACAAAACCAUGUUUUUUCUGGUUAUCUCCUCUUUAUCUUCUCCGUUCCACAAAUUUUUUGUUCUAAUGUUCCACCAUUAUCAAAGACUCAAGCAGACUUCCAGAUUUGUUUCACCUCAUGAUCUCAUUUAUCAAACAAAAAGUUGUUUAUAUCCAUCAAUACCCAGCAAAGGAGGAGCCUCUCAUCAGCUUCUUCAUUCCUAUUCUCAUUUAUCAAACAAUGAAUUGUUCAUAUCCAAUAAUACCCAGCAAAUCAUUUCUCUUUAUUUAUGCCCGGAAUUUCAAUUGCCUAGAAGGUUACCCCACUGAAAUAGAACAUUCAUUGAUUCCUCCAUUGUGUUUCUCAGAUUAUCAAAUGAAAGUAAUCCCUUCUGUCCUUCAGCCUAUGUAAGCAUAAAAUAGAAAACAGAAAUGAUCCAUGUACCUCGAUUUUGACAUAUACAGUUUUUGACAUCUCCAGAAUGAAGUUUGUGUAGAGAUGAAAAUCAGAAAGAACAAAGAACAGAAGAUUGGAGAAUACUAAUUGAUGAAGAUGAUGACGAGGUUAUCGAUAUAGCUGUUUCGAUUCAAAUGAAAUUGGACUCUCCUUGACACCAUAGCUGACAUGGUUAGUGGUGAUCCGAUUGAAAUCUCCAGAAAAAGAAUGAAAGAGAUAACGAAGCCAAGAAGAUGAGAUAGAAACGAGGCGUCAUGAAGUUUUUUUUUUGUUCAAUAUGUUAACGGAGGAGAUGAGAUAACAGAGCUGUUUGUAUUGGAAAUUGUCAUUUAGAUAUUUAAUGAAUAAAAGUUGAGGUGGCUAAAUUAUAACCUUUGGAUAUCUAGUUAACGGACAAGAUUGGAAGUCAAGGACAACCAAGGAUAGGGAUCAGCCAAGGAGAGGAUCCUGAUCCAUAUGUCUAUGGGGAAAUUAUAAACUGAUCCCGGAACACCAUGUGGCAUUUAGUCUCUUCUAAUGCUAUUGGUCCAAGUGUUCUUAUCUUAUUUCUGAUUGGUCUAUUUAUUUACUUUUACAUUUUUUUUCACCCCCUGCUGGUCCUCACACGAAUUUCAGUUAUAUAAUUGGCUAGGAACACCACAUGGCAAUGUGGUGUUUCGAGUACAGGAAAUAAUUACUCAUGUCUAUGUUCCACCACUUCAUCUUUUGAGUUUGGUUUAGUUUUUUUGGUAGAACUGGAAACAAAGAAAUGGUAAAUAGCCUUCUUAGUUCCAGGGUUUAUUAAAAAGAAAAUAAGAUUACAAGAGGAGGGGAGGGGAAAUAACACCAAACCUCUUGUAGUCGGUUGUGUAUAAAACAACCUCCCAAGCCCGUAAACCAGCGGGCAUUCCACCAAAACCGAGGCCGCCUCGAGGUACCCGCCAAUAAGUAGGGUGGGCCGGCCUUGACCUCGGAGACAGUAUUGGGCUGGGAGUGGUUUCAAAAGGCAUAAGGGAGCUGUGUGUGAAGUAGCAGCAAAGGCAGUUGUCCCACAUCGUUUCUCAAGUAAAGAGAACCCACUCUGAGCCAUAAAUAUGGGCCAGCCACUAGUUUGUCAGGUAUAAUAACUACCUUCAGUAAUUGCUCUCUACCACAAGAUACUAACUUAAGCUUUGGAGAAGGAAAGACCGGAAAUCCUUGUUAUUGCAGGUCAGCAAGAGGACAGCCAACCAUCUGCCAGACACGCCAUCAGUUUCUGCGAACCCAUCAGGGAUCGUACAGAAACAUUUGGCGCCAUCUGUGGGAAACUUUACAAAAAGCCAGUGUGACUCGAUGACUGACUUAACCGAGCAGCAAGAGCAAGAGGCGGGACUGCAAGAGCAGAGGGAGGCGAUAUACGGAAGGACCCCAGAAAGAGCAAGGGGAAAUUCAAGAAUGGCGGGGAGAACCUCACGGGAUGAAACACCAGAAUAUGUGCCGAGAGAUCUCAACCCCCAAGAGGUAGCCGAGAUGUUGGAGGAUAUGAGGACACAAAUCGCCCGGCUAGAGCGGCAAAGUGUCCAAGAUCGAAUAGAAGCUUCCGGGAGGGAGCGUAGGUUGGAAAAGGAAAACGCAACUCUCGUAAAUGCGCUAGCUCGAGGAGUUGAGCGCUAGGAGGCACUGGAUCAGGUGGGAGAAACAGACCGAGCGGCGACGUCUCGCCAGACAGGCGCCCCGGUGGGAACAGGCCGCAGGACAGUGCACAUAGGAACGAAUUUGUUCCCGGACGAAAUGAGGGAUGAGGGACCGCCGCCCCUGCCCGAACCGAUCCUAGAAAUCCAAGUUAGGAGGCCGGGAGAGAUGGAAGAAACCCUAAGAGCUAUCCGGGAUAGCGUGGCAAGUUUGGCAGACCGAAUCUUGGACGCUGAGAGAAGAGGGGCACGGAACCAGCCCUGCGCGAGUUUCAAAGAAAGAGGGGGACCAUUCACAAGAGUGAUCACCCAGUCUGUCCGAUCAAGCACAGCCAAGCCGUUGAAGCUUAGCUACAACGGGGUCCGAGAUCCCUACCUAUUCUUUGAUAGCUUCAAGUCUCACACGAACGCUAAAGGAUACUCGGACGCGAUAUGCUGCAAUAUGUUCCAGGAAACCUUAGCAGGGGAAGUGCUCAGUUGAUUUUAUGAGCUCUCGACGAACUCGAUCGAUUGCUUCCGGGAUCUGGUGGACAGGUUUGUCAAUAGGUUCAUUCUACGGAUGGACGAGCAGAAUACCGCCCAACUGUUCAAAGUACAACAAGAUAGAGGAGAGGGGUUGAAAGCUUUUGUGAACCGCUGGCAAGCGGCCACAGCUAGAGUCAGGACAUUCGACAUGAAGGUUGCCGAGGAGGCGUUCAUUCAAGGACUGCUUCCCGGGAAGUUCAUGUAUGCAAUAAAAAUCGAAAAUCCGCAAGGCUAUGACGAGCUUAUGGAAAUGGCGGUCCGGCAUGCCCAGGCAGACCAUGACACUUAUGGGGGGACCUCGGUCGGGAAAAGGAAGGUCGAAGGGAGAGGUUCCUCGGUGCAAGUGGUCUAGGAGGUCAGGGUUUGGAUGGGAGAGCAAGAGCUAAACUCGUACUCUUCUGGAAAGAGACAUAAAGAGAGGAACGGGAGGAAGGCAGGGAAGCAAUAUAGCGCUCACGGGAAGGCAAAGAGCCCCUACCAAGAUACCGGGUAUACAAGGAUGGCGCCGGCAGCAAAAGAGCAGUUCUCAACGCUCAACGCCACCUACGAGGCGAUAUGGAAUGAAAAUAAGUCUGCCAUUCCACCUCCCCCUGCUAGGAAGUUCCCCGAGUCCUCAAGCCUCACCAAAGAAGACACGGGAAAAUUUUGUGGGUACCACGGGGAGGCAAGUCACCAAAUAAAUAACUGCAUUGAGCUAAAGAGGGCGGUUGAGGGCCGAUUGAAAGAAGGAAAAUUGCAGCAGUAUGUGCCCGGUCAGAGGCAUGUCGGAGGAAUCGAAGUGUAUGGGACGAUUAACACGAUUCAUGGCGGGUCCCGUAUAGAUAAUAGGAGCAACAAGGCAAAAAGGCAGUGUACGGGAUCCAGGGAUGGCCGGGAGGUAUUUGCAUUUGGAAGUAGCAAUAAUCAGCAAGUGACCACCGGCUGGAAAUCCGUUACCUUCCUGGAAGAGGAAGAGGAAGGGAUAAGGCCGCAUGAGGACCCGUUUCUAGUAACAUUGCAACUCGAUCACUAUAUCACGAAGAAUAUCCUGAUUGAGACAGGAGCCUCAGUCAACGUGCUGUUCAGAAGUGCCUGGAAAGGACUGCAUCGAGGAAGUAACAAGUUGAUACAAGACCACGAGCCGUUAAUCAGUUUCUCGGGCGAUGUCGUUCAGCCCCUCGGAUCGGACAACUUUGGGGUAAGCAUGGAAGGCCGAGAAGGAGUCGCCCGGGCGAUAGUGGAAUUUAUUGUGGUGGACUGUGAGUCGUCUUACAACGGGAUAUUAGGAAGGCCCGCCUUGUUGAAGCUGAAGUCUUUUGUCGCUGGCCACAUGUUGAUGAUGAAGGUUCCAACCCCAACAGGAGUCAUUACGAUCCGGGGAGACCAGGGGGCGGCAAGGAGUUGUUAUGCGAUAGACAAUGGGAGGAAGAGAUCUGAGGUUCUAUUGGCGAGCCAGGCCAUGGCAUCCCCCUCGGACCCUUACAUGGAUCCCAGGGAUGAUACCGACUAGGAUGAAGAGCGCCCGGGGUCGGCUGAAGAGACAGAAAUGGUCUCAAUCUUAGAUGAGUUCCCCGGUCGGGAAGUAACCAUCGGGACGGGGCAGGCACCCGGAGUAAGAGCAGCCCUGGUAAAGUUCUUGAAAAGAAACAGUGGGGCAUUCUCUUGGACGUACAAAGACAUGCUCGGGAUAUCAAGCAGCAUUGUGACACACCGGCUUGGGAUCGAGAAGGGAUUCCCUCCCGUGAGGCAAAAGCGAAGGACGUUUAAGCUAGAAAAGUACGAAGCAAUGAGGGGGGAAGUACAAAAGUUAAUAGACAUCAAGUUUAUACGGGAGGUCAGAUACCCCUAGUGGUUGGCCAAUGUGGUCAUGGUUCUAAAGAAGUCAACAUGACAGUGGAGGAUGUGUGUAGAUUACUCAAAUCUCAACAGAGCAUGCCCAAAGGACAGCUUCCUGCUCCCAUGAAUAGAUCAACUGGUGGACCCCACGUCCGGAUUCGAAUUGUUGAGCUUUAUGGACGCCUAUGCGGGCUAUAACCAGAUCCAAAUGGAUCCAAGGGAUGAGGAGCGUACAGCUUUCACGACCGAUAGGGGCUUUUAUUGCUAUAAGGUAAUGCCUUUCGGACUGAAGAAUGCGGGAGCGACUUACCAGCGACUGAUGAAUGUCAUGUUAGCCGAGUACCUCGAGAAAAUAAUGGAGGUAUAUGUCGAUGACAUGCUGGUCAAAAGUCUAAAGGCCGAGGAGCAUGUAGGGCAUCUUGAGAAAGUCUUCGAAGUCAUAAAGAGGUUCGGGAUGAGGCUAAACCCUCAGAAAUGCAUCUUUGGGGUUGUUAAAGGGAAGUUCCUGGGGCAUAUAAUUAGCAGGAGGGGGAUUGAAGCCAACCCGGAAAAGAUCCAAGCCAUAUUGGACAUGAAAAGACCCAAGGAAAGGAAUGAAGUGAGUUCAUUAGCCGGGAAGAUUGUCGCCCUUGCUAGAUUCGUGUCACGACUCACGGAUAAGUGUGCCCCGUUCUUUCGGCUGAUGAAAGACCAGCGGUGUGGGGACCCGAGCAGGAGGCAUUCAAACAGAUAAAGGCAUACCUCACGUCCGCGCCGGUUUUGUCAAAACCAAUCUCGGGCAAGAUGUUUUACCUGUAUGUCGCAGCAUCACAGUCAGCAGUUAGCUCGGUCUUGAUAAGAAAAGAGUCUGAUAUCGAGCACGCUAUAUUUUACGCCAGGAAGGGAUUCCCACCAGCCGAGAGCAGGUACCCGGACGUGGAGAAAUUAGCCUUGGCACUUAUUGUAACCGCUAGAAGACUGAGGCACUAUUUACAGGCACACUCGAUAACCCUUUAUACCAACCACCCCCUGAGACAGAUCAUGCAAAAGCCAGAGAUCAGCAGAGACUAGUGAAAUGGGCGAUUGAAUUGGGGGAAUUUGAUAUCCAUUACCGGCCGAGAGUGGCAAUCAAGGGCCAAGCAGCGGCCGACUUCAUAUCUGAGCUCACGCCCAUGAAAGUUGUGGGAGAGUCUCCUGAGUUCACGCUCAUGAAAGUGGUGGAGGAGUCCCCUAAGCGCAUUCCCAAGAAAGUUGUGGGAGUAUCCUCCGAGACCGGCCGGGAGGAAAGUUGUCCCGGAGCAGAUAAUGGGAUACACAGUGAGGAACCGCCGACUCAACUCUGGAGGUUUUUUGUUGACGGCUCGGUGGCGAGAAAUAAAAGCGGGGCAGGAAUAAUAUUAGAGACUCCCGAUGGAUUCAAACAUGAGUACGCCCUGGAAUUCCAAUUCAAGUCAUCAAACAAUGCGGCUGAAUACGAAGCUUCGAUUGGCGGAUUGCAACUCGCCCGAGAUAUCGGUGUGGAGAGUGUAGAAGUGUUCAGUGAUUCGCAGCUUGUUGUAAAUCAAGUCAACGGGACCUUCAUAGCCAAGGAGCCUCAGUUGAACUCUUACAAAGCACUGUCGAAAGCCUUCAUGCAACGCUACAAGUCGGCCUCCCUCUCUCACAUCCCGCGAAAGGAAAACAGUAAUGCAGAUGCCCUCGCCCGGCUAGCCACCGGAGGGCCCGGGAAAGGCAGAAAGAAGGCAAGGAUUGAGGUGCUUGGAAAGCCAAGUAUUAGUAAGACAAUCUCGGAGAUAUUCAUGGUUGAGUCGGGUCCCGGAGAGCCUACAUGGAUGGACCCCAUACUCGAGUUCAUGAAGGAGGGGGUGCGCUCGGAGGACAAGCGUGAAGCAUGAAAACUCCAAUCGAGAUGUGCAAGGUACACACUCAUGAACGGAAAGCUAUACCGAAGAGGUUACAAUUUCCCAAACCUCAAGUGUGUAACAGAAGAGGAAGGAGAGAUGAUCAUGGGAGAAAUCCAUGAGGGCGUGUGCGGGAAUCAUUCUGGAUCCCUGUUGCUAGCUCACAAAGCACUCCGGAUGGGUUUCUUCUAGCCCAACAUGGACGCCAUGGCGGAUAGGAUGUCGGCGAGAUGCCGUAAAUGCCAUUUGCACGCUAACGAGAUACAUUCUCCGUCCAUUGCUCUAUCAAUAUUAUUGUCGCUCUGGCCUUUUGCACAAUGGGGCUUGGACCUCAUCGGGAUAUUACCAACGGCACCCGGGCAGUUCAAAUAUGUGAUAGUGGCUGUUGACUACUUCACGAAAUAGGUGGAGGCAGAGCCCCUAGGGAAUAUAACCACCGAGAGUAUGAAGAAUUUCCUAAUGAAGAACAUCUACUGCAGAUUCGGGGUCCCGGAGACAAUCAUCACAGACAAUAGCACACAAUUAAACAAUAACCAUUUGAUUGAAUUCACGAAGGACAUGAGUACCAAGAUGGUCUUCGCGUCGGUGGCACACCCGUAGACCAAUGGUCAGGUAGAGGCGGUUAACAAGAUCAUUAAAAUGCUUCUGAAGAAGAAGUUAGAUGACGCAAAGGGUCUGUUGGCACAAAAGCUGCCGGAGGUAUUAUGGGCAAUUAGAACCACAGCAAUAGAAGCAACGGGAGAAACGCCUUUCAGCAUGGCCUUUGGCAUGGAGGCUGUUUUGCCAAUCGAGACAUCAAUACCAUCAGGAAGGGUCAAAAAGUUCGACGCCACAACCAAUGAGGCAAUGAAGAGGGUCUCCGUUUGAACAUUGACCUCAUUGAGGAGAGGAGGGAGAGAUCAGACUUACACAACCAAGUCUAUAAGCAGCGAGUUGCACGCCACUAUAAUAAUAAAGUCAGGACUCGGAUGUUGGGACUAGGGGACUGGGUAAUGAAGCAAAUCAUGACCAAGACGGCAGCCCUGGAUUUGAACUAGGAAGGGCCGUACGAGAUAAUUGAAGAGGUCGGCCCAACAACUUUCUUUCUCUGGGAUCAGGAUGGUAUAGUCACCGGGCGACCUUUGAAUACGGAGCACCUGAGAUUCUACCCCGUGUAAAGUGGGAAUGAAACCCACCCUUAAAAUUUUUUACAUUUGCAAGUAUUGAGGCCCCCAGGAGGACAACAAGUCCCGGAGGAUGCCUUCAUUCGUUUUGAAAGACUUAAUACGAGAAUGGAGAAGUUAAAUUCAAAUUCUAACGAUGGUAAUCCACCGGGAGGCAAAAAUCAAUAUAAUCGCAAGUAAUAUCAAACGGGAUGGUAAUCCGCCGGGAGGCAAAAGUCAAUAUAAUCCCAAGUAAUAUGAAACAGGAUGGUAAUCCGCCGGGAGGCAUAAGUCAAUAUAAUCCCAAGUAAUAUCAAACGGGAUGGUAAUCCACCGGGAGGCAAAAGUCAAUAUAAUCCCAAGUAAUAUCAAGCGGGAUGGUAAUCCUCCGGGAGGCAUAAGUCAAUUAAAUCCCUAGUGUCGAACGGGUAAAACCGAGAGGAAAAGUUAUUGAAGUCCCUUGUAACACCGAGUGGGGUAGGCAUAAUACAAAUAUAUAACACAGGAGAAACAAGUAAUAAAAUUAGACAAGGCAUAAUAUAUUAAAACCCGGGAUCCGGGCGAAUACCACCAAUGGGUAUUUACAAAAUUCACCGGGAUGUAUUCUGGCACGAGGUCAUUGUCUUACAAGAAAAACCAAAAAGCAAAAGGGAAAUUACAACUUAUACCUCGCCGGGUUCCUCUUCCUCAUUCCCGUCCGAUUCGGCCAAGUUGUCAUUACCUUCAACGCCCUCCUCAACAACCUUCUCGGACGGCUCGCCUGUCUCAAGCUCUUUCUCGGCCGUUGCCUUAGAUUUAGCCUCUCUCUCCUUGGCCUCUCGAGCAGCGAGCAAGUCGGCUGUCAUCUUGGCCUUUUCCAGGUACCCAAGGCGGCUCUAGACGCCGAACUUCUCGGUGAUGCCACUCUCCCGGGCAGCCUUGAGCAUAGCCUUGAGCUUGUCCGACUCCUUGAAUUUGGCCACAACAAGCUCGCCCUUGGCGGGCAUCUGGCCUUGUAGAUCAGCAAUCUGUUCGUCCCUCUCCUUCAGCUUAGACCGCAGCUUCGCGUUCUACCGUUGAAGCGCGUCUACAUCCCACUCCAAGGCGAGAACUCUUUCAGCUUUUCCCUCCAGCUCUUUGGUAUGGAGGCUCAAUUUGGCGAACUUAUCGGCCAGCGAGAGUUUCUCCUUCCUCUCGGCCUCCAAAUCCUUCUCCAUCUUCUUCUUCUUCGCUCCGAGAUAGCUGAUCUGGUCGUUCAGGCUGGCCAAACGCUGCUUCAUCUCGUUGGUAUCCUUGCUGGCAUCAAUAGCGUAGAUAGCGAAGAGAGCCUGCAAGCAAAACAAAAUUAGUUCAGCAUCUCGGACAGUGAUAAUAAGUUGACAUUACCAAGAAGAAGCUUACCUUCAUCAUUGCCUCCCAGGCGUACUGCAGGUUCUUCCAAGGAGUGCUGGACCCGAUCUUAAUCCGAUCCAACUCGAUACCCUUCAAAUCGCCCACCAUGCUGUGCACGAACUUCUCAUCGGCGCACCCAUACUCAUCCAGUAUCUGCCGGAUGGGGGUCUUUCGGAUCUGGGGAAGAGCAGGAGCGAGAGCACCCAAAGUAACUGGGGGGCCGGCCGAGGAUCCUGCAGCCUUUUGCUUCUUCCGGGGUGGCGAGGCCCCGGACACGCUCAUCCCGCUAAGACUUCGAUUUCUUGGAUGACUGUUUCUUCUUCUAGCCCAAAUUGACGUUGACAACGUCACCGGUCUUCCCGGGCGCCUCCGCAUCAGCAGUUGGUUUCUCGUACCUUUCAUCGUUGACCUCCAGGAGUAUAGCGCCCUCCGAAACACGGGCGGUAGAGUCUGCAACAUUCACGUCGGUACGGGAGGCCACUUUCCCUACCUCCAGUAGGUCGCUCAGCAAGUCCAUGUUAGAGUCCAUGUCACGCGGGUGUGAGGGACGUUGUUUACACUUGGGCACUUUAGCUGAAAAUAAAGCCAACAGUCAAACUCUCGGGUACCAAGAGUAAAAAAGCCAUGGACAAGAGAAAACAGCAACAAGCGAAACUAAUUUGGAACCCCACUAGGCAUACGGCUGAGUUCAUAGUGAACCAAGACAGCCCACCGGGUCAGGUUGUACGAGCUUUGAUCCUCAUCCGAGGGCCAGGCUGCAAAUAAUCGCCCAAUGCGUCGCUUAUCGAUCUCUGACAGCGAGAAUGACUGAUCCCGGAUAUAUCUAAACCGGUUGGGCACAACGUAUGUCGGACAGUUUCUUUGCCAUCGGCCGCCGGCAAGCACGACCUUUGAACGCCAAUUAUUGUUCAUGGACGUUGGGAGGUCAGUGACUGGAGGCAAGUAUUCUCGAGCAACAAAUGAAACACACCCUCGGCAAUUCUGCUUCUUUGAGUACGAGAGGAGAUACAGGGCGCGAAACUCGUUGAUAGUUGGCCAACCCAUCUCGGACAAGUAGUACAGGCAGCAAAGAGACAGCAGCUGGUGCCAUUGGUUUUGGGGAAUUUGCCCGGGAACAAGCUGAAGCAUGCUCAGAUGAUACUGCACGCACUAAGGAAGCGGGAGAGGGAAGCCGUUCCUAAACAUAUGCUCGUGCACAACGACGAAGCCGUCUCUCGGGCAGCACGCCAAUUCGUCCUCGUAUAGCGCGCGGAGGGUAACAGAUGACGGGAUUCCCUAGGCUUCCCGAAAUUGUUCAAUCUCGGCUGAGGUCAUGCUACACUCGGGUUCGUUGUCACAUCCCGACCCUUAAAUUUUUACCUUCUUUACUAGCUUGAUAUUAAUAAGAAUUUUACCGUCUCCGUCAAUGAGUUAUGGUUUAAUUGGUCCCUAGAGGGGUAUUGAGGGACGAUUAUUUCGGAGGAAUUAUUCGUAGGACAAAAAAUGUGACAACGGUAAAAAUGGUAAAUUUUAGCUAGUAAAAGGUAAUUUUUAUUAGGGUGUUAAUUUUUUUGGAAUUGGGUUUUAUUUGGUGGUGUUUGAUACACCCCGAACCUAGUAAUUAAUUUUAUAUUGUGAUUUCCGGUUUAUUGGUAGCUAAUCAAUUCGGAAAUUUAUUCCGGUUAUUUUUGAUAGAGGUGGUUUAUUCGAGUUCAUGGGUUUUUUUAGUUACCCGAGUAGGAGUUCGUAAUUGGAGGAUAGUUAAAAUAAUAAUAGAGUCCAUUUUUGGGCUAGGUUUUUAAGUGGGACUUGUCUUAUUUGAUAGAGAAAGAAAAACAGAAAAGUCAGCCUCUCAUCUCUUUCUCCUCAACCUCUCGAGGCCGUCCGACUCUCCUCAACGGAAAGCCGCUGUCCGGCCACGCAUCGUCGCCGCGCCAGUCUCGUACGACAGCUGGGACACUGCUCGUCCUUCCUAGGGUGGUGGCCGUCCUCCUCUCUCCGGCAGCAGCUCACGGGAGCGCUCUCAAGCCGCCGGUUUUGUGGAGCCGGAACUGUUUUCUCCAGCCACCGAUUCCAACGAUCCUUGGGGGGUUUUGUAGCUCUUCUCUAGACUAUUCAACCAUUUCAAGGUGAUAGAACAAUUCAGGGUGUGUAGAGCAAAUCGGUUUUAGUGUGUCCUUGAGCUUUGGAGGUAUUUUCCGGCCAACUCUUUAGUUUCUGGGUUUAAUACUAGUUAUGUUUGUUGUUGUGCGUAUGGAGAGGAAGAGUUUGGCUUAUGCCUUGUUAAUUUUGGUUGAAGUUGAUUAAGGUGGUGGUGGUUGAUCCCCGCUGCCAGCGGUUGACCGCCGCUGCCAGCAGUUGACCGCCGCUGCCGGUGACUGCUGCCGGUUUUGGUGGUGGUUUUGAGUAAUUUUGGAUGAUUUCUAGAAGGGAUAAAUGUUGUUGUAUUGUAUGGUGAUUUUUGGUGAAGAGUGCUUGGAAAUUGGGAUAGUUUUGAUGGCUCCAUGAGUGAGAGAUGAGUGGUAUUGAAGUAUUGGAAAUUUUGGUGAGUGUUAGUAGGAAUUUAGGAAAGUUUAAGUUGAUUUUGGUGAAAGAGUAGAGGUGAGCCUCAUCCUUGGGAAUUUCCAUAUUUGUGCUUAAGUGUUAGAACGUUGAGGAAAAAUUGGAGAAGGUUAGUAAAAAUGGUUGGAGUUCUCCUUAGUUUUUGGAGAGUGUAGAGUGAGGGUAGAUGACAUUGCCCUAUCUUGUUACUUUGAUAUUCUUGUAUUAUUUUUGUCUCGGACCUUAAAUCUCGUUUUGUACAGGACGAGAGGAGACACCACGUGAGGAGGACUCUGACCGACGUCAGGCUUAGCUGUCUAUACUGUGAGUGGACAUUUUAUUUUUAAAGGAGUAUGCAUGCAUGAUUUGUUUAGAAAAUCAUCACUAAUUUUCUGAGUUGAUUUUAUUAUUUCUUCUAUGAAGGGAUCUUGAAAAUGAUUUGAGUUAUUCUAUUUUAAGCAUGUUAACGUGUGAGACACGUUGAAUUUAAUUAACUAUAUUGCUCUUAGAAUUUUUCCAAGUACGGUUGGGAAUCGUACUUAUAUUUUAUUUAUGAGUUUUGGGGAAACUCAUAUGAUUUAUAUUUUCCUUAUGCCAUAUUCUUGGAAUAUAUAUGAUGUCAAUGCUAGCAUGUCGUUCCACCUUUCGAGGUGAUGUGACACCCACGUUUCAAGUGGGGUCACGCAAGCCCUUUCCACCCUAGUGGUGAUGUGAUGUUGCCGGCGGCAUCACGCAAGCCCUGUGCCCUAUCCGUCAACUCGACGUGAAGGUACAGGGAGUAUGGGAGUACUAUGCCUGGGAGGCAACCGAGUCUGGGAGACUCACUUAUAUGGCCAUAUAGGAUAUUCUAUUUGAGUUGUUAAAUUGACUAGCAGGGCUAGUCCAUUAUUUUUGGAAGUUUUUUUUUAUACGAGAAAUCUAUUUAUUUUUCUUAUUGUUUUACGUACUAGCGGGGCUAGUGGGAAUUUGGUUGAGCUUAUAAUAUCUGCAUGCAAGAAAAUUNNNNNNNNNNNNNNNNNNNNUUUACGACUAGCGGGGCUAGUGGGAAUUUUGGUUGAGCUUAUAAUAUCUGCAUGCAAGAAAAUUCUUGGUUUCCGUAUAAAUGGAAAAGCAUAUAAAAGUUUGAUUUAGUAUCAUUAUGCUCUUGGAUAUUUAUUUAAUUAGUUUGUUUUUCGUCCACUCACGCUAACGUUUUUAAUGCUUUUCCCUGGGCCCUUUGUUUUCAAAUGCCCAGAUUACAGAGCUCCUGUUCGGUUUCACUAGGAGUUGAGGUAUAGUUUUCCCGCUGCACCUUGCUGACCGUAGGUUACCUGUUAACCUAUGUGUAGUGUUAUAUUUCCUUCUUGUAGAGCUCUGAUGACCAUGGGAUUAUGUGUAUUAGGUUAAAGUGUUUACUUUUCACUUAGGUCUAUGACCCACGUAGAGAGAGUUUAAUCUUGGUUGAUGUUCAUGUUUAAGUAAUGCCAUUGAAUACUUGGUUUGGGUUGUUUAAUUACUGCUAUGACUUGGUUUAUGUUGUGGGGAGUGAAGGACUCCAGGAGUGGUGGUUGGUUAUUAUAGUUGAAGUGUUUCAGUUUUUUUUCAGGAUGGGUUGUCCAUUUUUAGGGGAGGUUAUGCCGAAAUUUCGGUAUAAUCUCUUUUAAGAGUGGACCCCGCAAGACUUGCCUAUUUCACUAUGUGUUUUCGGGGCGGGUCUUGUCAGUGUUGGACCGGUUAGGAUUAGAAGCCCAAAACCAUUUCUCUCUCUCCCUUCACUGUUCUCUCCCGACGCUCUCUCUCUCUCUCCCUCACUCUGUCAGAUUUGCUCCGGCUCCAACCGACGCCGUCCGGCCAAGCCAGGCCGCCGCACCGGUCCCGUUUGGACCGCCGCUGCCUCCUCUCCUUGCCUGGGCUGGUGACCGGGCCGGUUACGCCACCGAACAGGGAGGAAACUCCCCUACCAGCCAGUUGCUCCAUUCGCCGGAACUCCCUCCUCCGGCCGCCAUAGCAGGCGAUUCUUGGCUCGUUUGGAAGCUCUGCUCUCGUGCAUCAAUCCCUCCAAAGGCUUCCCUCCCCCUUGGUCUAGGUAAGGAGAUUUUGGUGUUGGAUAUUCUAGGGCUCAUUUGAUGUUUUUGUUCGAUUACCCUAUCUAGGCUUGGAAUUUGUGUUUGUGCUAGUUAAGAAAGUUGUAGAGGGGGUUGAGAGGAAGAUGCUGUUAAAUUUUGGUAGGCAUUGGGGUCGCCGAAGUCAUCUGCCGGCAGAGCAAACGGCGGCGCCGCCAUUGUUAGAGGGAUUUUCAUGGUUUUAAUGUAUAAUAUUAAGAGGAGUUUAAUGAUGUGAAGUGUGGAAUUUUUGGAGGAGUUUUGGAUAGGUUUGGGAUUUUUGAUAGAUUGGUGAAUUUGGCAGUUAAUGAGGUAGAAUCCGACCGUUGGAUUUUCUUUAUUAUUGUUUUAGAAUGUUGAUAUAAAGAAAAUAAGGCUGUGGUUGGAUUUUGGCGUGAAUCCGAUAAGUUUAACCCUAGGAAAGGUAGUGGGUUAGGCGGAAGAGUUUUGGGUUAUAUAUUUAAGUAUUAUUUAUUCUGAAAUUGAAAUGUGGUCCUAAGAAUGGUUUUUGUGCCAGGAUUUGAGGAGACCUCACUUGAGUGGCGAAUUGGAUUUCGUCGGGCUUAUGCCUAAAGUUGUGAGUGGACUUGUUUUAAAUGAUGUGGAUGCAAAUGUUUUAUUGAUGAAUAUCAAUUUGUGGAAUUGUUUAUUUUCGCGAAGUUAUUUUUUGGAAGUAAAUGCUCUUAUUUUAUUUGUUAACUUCGCUAUUUGGAAAGUUACCGAAAAUGAGAUUUUCGGUGGAGUCAUAUAUUUAUUGCUUCUUUUAUAAUUGGCAAUUUUCAUUAUUUUGGAAGUUACCGAAAAUGAGAUUUUCGGUGGAUAUGUAUGUGGAUAUUAUGAGGAUAGUAUGUAUAUAAAAAAAUGCUAGCUAGCUAUACGUGCUUUUCCGUCAUAAUGAGAUAAAAUUCCAUUAUGGCGCGACGUGAGGGUUAGACGCAAUCGUCGUAGCCCUAUAUAAAUAUAAGAAUUUACAUAGGGGAUAUGCGCGUAUAUAAACACCGUCUUUUCCGCCAUAAUGAGGUAAAAUUCCAUUAUGGCGCGCCGUGAGCGUUAGACGCAAGCGUCGUAGUCUUGUGUGAAUUUCUAUCUCUAUUUGUUGUUUCAAGAAAAUUCAUACAAGGAAUAUGACGAGUGUAAAUACAUACAUAUUUAUACAUAUUACUUUAGCCUGAGAGGCUUCAUUUUAUUAAAUUUGGUGACUAGCCGGAGCUAGUCAUGAAAUUGCCAGUUUAUGAGUUGAGCUUUUGAGUUGUCGUAUGCAGCAUAAUUUCUAUGAAAAUUUAAAUUGGGAAAGCAUAAAUAUUUUCAUUAAAUUUAUUUUAUCCACUCACUCUAACGUUUGUAAAUGUUUUCCCCUGGGCCCUUCGUUUUAAAAAUGCCCAGUAUGCAGGUUAGCUUUGUUGAGAUCGGGCGUACAUGGAGAAGAGGCAUAAUCAUUAGUAUAGCUUCCGCUCAUUUUUAUAUUUCUAGUUCUUUUCCUCUCAAAUAUAAUUGCUCUGAACUUGUGAUUGUUGGUUGUGAGUGUUUCUUAUUAAAGUGAGUAAAUAUAUUGGGAGAUGUUGUGAUUUGGGGAGCACGAAGGCUCCAGGAGGAGAGGGUUAUAAAUGGAUUCUUUUGAAGUGUAUGCAGGUAUUUUUAUUAGGAAGAGUUGUCCAUUUUCAAGGGAGGUUAUGCCGAUUUUUCGGUAAACUCUCCUUGGAGGUGGUCCCCGCCGGAUUUACUUCGGGUUUCAGGAUGAAAUUCGGGGUGGGUCCUAACAUUCGUCGCACACGGUGCCGUCCUCCAGUAUGUACCUCCUGGACGAAGAGGAGCCGAUUACACUGGUCAUCGGGACGCCAUAAAAACCCCGGCAGACCAGUCAACUUCCCGGGAGGGUACGGCAUAAUUUGCGUCCUCAGGCCUCGACGUAGGAGGACAGCUCGGGCGGGAUGAUCGACUAAUGUACUCCUCCAUCCUCUCAUCAGCAUCCACUAUCGGCCUAGAGGAUGUGCUAACCCCGCUUAAAUCAGUUGUACUUCGGGAAUCCAUCUACCCUAGUAUGACAAACCCUAAGAUCUAUUAGUAUGCGCUGUCGGGAGCAAGUGCACCAAUUCAAAGUCUAACACAGCCUAAACCCAGAAAAUCCUUAGAACACCAAAAUCCCCAGUUUUACUCGAAACCAUGGAAAAGCAACGCAAACACAGAGAAUGCCAAAAGAGAAACAAAGCAUAAGUGUGACAGAACAAAAGCAACAGAAACUUACCAGAUUUUCGACGUAGUAGCAACGCCAGAAACGCAGACGUCGAAAAACACCUCGCAAUUGCAGGGUUGAGAGAGAGCAGAGAACAGAAAGAGAGAAGUCAGAGAGAAAGCAGAGAACAUAAAGAGAGAAGCAGAGAAAUCAGAGAAAGCAGAGAAACGUAGAGAAACACAGAGCAGAUAAUAGAAUGGAGUGAGAGUGAAGACGAAAAACAAAAGAGGGGAAGAGUUUAUACACGGCCAGCGAGCAGUCGCCUCGAUCCACGAACCGAUGCAUUUAAAAAACCAUUACCUGGCCAUCCGAUCAAACCGUAGGAUGGUGCCACGUAGCUUAACUGCCGUGGCUUCUUGAAGAAGGAAAGAACGAAGCGACGUGCAUUAAAAAUUGCUUGGCAGUUAUCCAGGAAUAUUGCGACAUCUGGCGAGCAUGCAUUUAAUGCCUCUGCCACAGCUAUGCGCAAACUCUCAAGUAUAAGACCAAUCCCGGAUGAACAUCACCGAGAUCGUAAGACCAAAUAUAAGACCAAUCCCGGGUGAACGUCACCGAGAUCGUAAGACCAAUCCCGAGUGAACGUCACCGAGAUCGUAAGACCAAGGAAAGACCCAUCUCGGAUAAGUGUCACCGGGAGGAAGCAUACAACAACUGCUUCUCGAAAUUGUAAGUCCCAGAUAAGUGUUCCCGGGAUGCCGAGGCUGGGCAAUUUAUAUCAUCCCUUUAAAAAAGGAAUAAGUGGCUUGAUAAACCACGGACGGCGUUAACACCCCGUCACUCGAGUAGUGACACCGGAUGAUGAAAGGGCUCGCUACCCUUUGCCUAUGAACAUGUAACACCCGUUCAACCCACGUUCUGAGUCCAGACUUAGGGGGACUAUGGGUGGGACCCGCUUGAAAUAUGCUGGUCUACAGACUUAUUGUAGCAAGUCCCCACUCAAGAUGUGUCUUGAACGAGAACUUGGGAGGACUUGUAGUCUGUUGAGUAUAAAACAACCUCCCAAGCCUGUAAACUAGCGGGAAUUCCACUAUAACCGAGGCCGCCCCGAGGUACCCGCCAAUAAGUAGGGUGGGCCGGGCCCGACCUCGGAGACAGUAUUGGGCUAGGAGUGGUUUCAGAACGCAUAAGGGAGCUGGGUGUGAAGUAGCAGCAAAUGUAGUUGUCCCACAUCAUUUCUCAAGUAAAGAGAACCCACUUUGGGCCAUAAAUAUGAGCUAGCUGAUAGGAGCACAAAGUGUGACGUUCUUAAUAUGUUUAUACCCUUUAUUUACCCUUUGUUAACUCCUAUUUAGUUGUUUUAGCUUUAUAUUUGUGUUUAGUGUAGAAUAAUUGCUUAAUGUAGAAAUAUGUAGGUUUUGGUGUUAGAAUUCAUAGUAAUUUCGGAAUUGAAGAAUUGAGUGUUGAAAUUGUGUUAAGUGUUGGAAAUCCUUGUUUACUCAGGAUUCCUUUCUUGAUCAGGAUUCCAUCUUUCCUCUUUCUGAGUUUCUAAUUUUCUUAUUUCUAUUUCAGGAAAGUCUAAAUCCGUGUUGACUAGGAAAAUGUUUUCCUGACUCAUGAGGGAAAGGUGGCCGGCAGCUAGGAAUUCCUGCUUGAGCUAGGAGAAGUACAAUCCGAGAUAUGUAUGGAGAUGCCGUGAAGAUUUCCCAAGUCACCAAGGAGAGAGAAACCGUGCGGCCCAAGAAAGAAGAUUUUUCCAAGUUCAAGAUGGUUUCGUCAUUCCUUAAUGCAUGAGGAUUACUUGAAGAACAAGAGAAGAAAUUAAAUCCAACUUGGACUUGGUUUUGCCGAUUCAAUAGGAUUCCUUGUGCUUGAGGAAUUCUUGGAGAUCAAGACUUGUUACUCUAUAAAUAGGGCACGGCAUGGCAGCAAUUAUCAUCAUCAACCCGUGCAAAAAACACCAAAGCCUUUGCCGAAACUCCAUCAACCUCCAAACACCAUAAUCUGAUUCCACCAUCAUCCUUGAUCCAAAGCACGUAGCCUAGGAUUCCGCUCACUCGAAGAAUAGAACAAGUAGGGAUAUCCUGAGAGUGUAUUUCAUCUUUUACUUUCGGAUUAGUAUGUGUUUGUUCUUCUUGAUGUUUGUUUUAGGUUUUUGCUUAAGUAUGUUUCGAUUCUUGUCUAUGAGAUAGAAACACUUUUGAACCAUGUUUUGAAUUAAAGUUUUCAAUUUUUAAUCAAUGAUUUUAGGUUUUAUGCCGUGAGUUUUAUGUCUAUAUACUUUAAGAUUUUCGGUGCAUUCUUCCAUUAUCAUGUGUAGUUGAUACAAGUAGUUGAUAAGUUGCAUUGUCUUUGUUAUUUCACCNNNNNNNNNNNNNNNNNNNNGUAAUUUAGGUAUUUAUUUUCAAUGUUUAUUCCAAAAUCAUCAAACUUUAAACCCUAUAUGCUUAUUUCGACAUUUUUAUUAGAUUAGAUGGAUCUACCCUGUAGUUGGAUCCCCGGUUGAGAACGAUCCCUGCUUGCUUUAAACUACGAUUGAUUUGUUGACAGGGUUAAUUGAUGCGUGUGCAAAUACGUCUUAUCACUAGCCACCAGUUUGUCAGGUAUAAUAACUGCCCUCAGUAAUUGCUCUCUACCACAAGAUAUUGACUUAAGCUUCGGAGAAAGAAAGACCGGAAACCCCCGGUCAUCCUUGUUAAUACAGGUCAACAGGAGGACAGCCAACCAUCUGCCAGACACGGCAUCAGCUUCUGCGAACCCAUCCGAGAUCGUACAGAAACACCUCCCAAGUAAAAGCAACUAUACAAACAGCUAACGAACACGAAACUUCAGUAGACUCUCAAGUGUUCAAGUUUUAUCUAGAUCGGAUCAACAAUUUUCUCUUCAGGUGAUGUUUGACUCAAUGAGUUGUGUUUUUACUGUUGUAUAUGCUCGCACUACUGUUGUCGAUUGUGGGUUGAUCUAGAAAAUGUUAAGGAGGGAAGCUUUGUCACAGGGCCUUGGUUAUUUUUGGAGAUUUGGUUAUGUGUUGUUGUUACAUUUUAAUAUUUUAAUUUAUUUUGGGUGUUACUUUCAGUUUUUAUUUUGAAAAAACCGUUUUGACAUUAAUUUGUGUAACUCAUGGUGGUUAUUUGGUUUUAUUUGCUUUUAUUUAUUGUAACCCAUACUAUUGCUACCCUAUUAAUCAUAGGGAGUGUCCUACAAGCCUAUAUAUACACCAUUUUUGCAUGAAGAGAAUUACCAUGUACUACACAACAACUUAUUCACCCAUCAAUUUUCCAUCAAAAAUUCCCCAAAAGAAGUCUUGUGUUUUUUCGGCCAAAGAAAGAUGUUCUUGUGGUGGAGCUUUGGGUUCCUCCGGUUUGUGCCGAUUGGAGUGAGUCAUACAACUUGUUGUUGGGCUGUUGUAUCAUGUAGGGGACAAGUCAAGAGUCUGGUGCACCAAUGUUAUUCCGUAGAGGGCUUGAAUCUCCUUAAAAAUAGCGAGAUACACGCGCCUUAGCCUAUUGUCAACGAGCUUGUGUAAUAUUAAAAUUAUAAUUUUUAUUGUAAUUUCUUGUAAUUUAACUAACAUGUGCUAGAUGAGGAAGACAUGCACAAUACUAUAGAUGUCUACAACUCACACAUAAUCUACUUAAAAUAAACAUUACGCAAGGCUAUUAAGAACAAAACUAAUCUCACGGUCGAGCAUAUUCCUUUAUUUGUGUGCUACAGUGUAUAUGACAAAGGAGAGUGCGUGGACUGGUUGCAGAUUUUCAUGCUACUAGUUGCAUUUUUUCGAUAGUUCAAAAGAAACAACAAAACGACAACAGAAAGCCUCGAGUUACUCCCUCUGCCAGUUGAUCCAAAUAGAACGUUAAAAACACAUAAAGGGGAAUGCAAUGAAACCAUACUAAAACUGUAGAUGAGGUAAAACCUAAAGAUGCUGCAACAAAAUUAGCUUCCAUGUGUACAUGAUGAAAGUAGCAACUUUGCAGCUCAGAAGCUAACCUACUAAGUAAUAUCUUGAACAAUAGGCAUAAUACACCAAAGUUGUCACACCCCGGUCCCAGCGUCGAUGGAUUUUAGGCACCGAACGCCGUUUCCGAGGCGUGAACGAGUGUUACAAAGCGGAAUGUCACUCUAGGCUCGUCGUCUACCAUUUUCCCGGCUCGGUACAACCUAAGUAUUUUUCAGGCAAAAAAAUGUCAGAGAUGGAUAGGUGAGCAUAACCACGCGCUUAGUGAGUAGACCAAUGUAAUAUGCCCACAAAGCCAUGUCAUUUUUACACACGCUACAAAAUACGUAUAUCAUAUACACAUUACUUCACGCAAUUCAUCACAUCGCACAAUCCCUUCUUAUUGGAUACCUUCAAUUUAGUGAUCCCCACGGGAACCUAAUAACAUUCAUGUCAUAUACCUCCGUGUGUCACAUCCUUAUUUCGGCAUAACUAAUCAAGAAGUUCACAUGUUCCAUGACUAGUUAAACAAUAUAUCCAACACAUAAAUAUAUAUAAACUCUGCAUAUUUCGCAAAUUGACAUGCUUCACUUAAAAACAGAGAGAUAUUUCGUAAAUAGAUUAAAAUCAUGUUUUUUGACUAUUUUAAUAAGAAAUAAGAAUAUUUGAAACAUAUUACACAAAUCAACUCACCUCGUCAAUACGAAUCCCCACUAAGAACAUCGAUAGUAAACCAAGCCUCCUAAAAUGAGCCAUCUAGAAUCACCAUUAGAUCUAGCUCAAACCUCUAGAAUAGGAAGAGGACAUCGAUACAAACCCGUAGCCCUUCACGGAUUCAAAAUCGAAGUUACGGAUCAAGAGUUAUGAUCCGCCAAAGUUUUACAACGAAAAUUUAGAGAGAGAAAAUUCUAAAGAAAGCAGGAGAAAAACGGAGGAGAGAAAGAUCUGCUGCAAAAUGAAAUGGAAAGCAGCUGAUUGACUGAUUCUUCUAUAUAGACAAAUAAUGACACGUGUCAACAAAUAAUUGGAUCAUUUGUUGUCACGUGUCAAACAACACACCCUCACUAAACAAUGGACAAGCGGCUGAUGACUCAGGGUUGAUGUUGACGUCAUCGUCAGCUGGUCUCUAUACCAAGUGACACGUGUCACGACGACAACCAAUCAGAAUUUACCAUGUCAAUAAUUCUGACGAACUUCGACGAAACUUUAAAAAAUCGUUAAAAAUAGCUUGGAAGUCUGAAAAAUUCAUCGAAAAAUACGGCGAAGUCGUGGCGACCUCUACUUUCUAUUUCUAUGAAGAAAAAUCAAUUUUGAGAAAUUUCAAAAUUCAAGAUGUUACAAAGGUAUUCGAGUUUUUCCAUUCAGACAUUCAAUCAAUACCUUGGAGUCCCAUUUAAUAAUAAUUCGUGUAAAUUGUUGAAUCCAAGCAAUGUGUAAUCCCUCUCGGAAAGAGCUUCGCGAAAAAAAAACAAAAAAACAAACUUUCUCUAAAAGUCAUAGCCUCCACUAUAAGAAUUGUUUUAUCACUUGUAUGUUUAGAUGCAACUAAUUGAUUACCAUGACUGUCUCUAAAAACAAAACCAACUACAACCCCCUAUUAUAUGAUAUAUAAAAGCAUCAAAAUUAACUUUCACAAAACAAGGAUUAGGAGGAUGUCAUUUGACUAUUAAUGCUACUAGUGGCAUGUCAACUUUUGACUGUGUUCUUUUUAUUUUAGUUUUGUUUUCCUAACUAAUUUUAGAUUUUAAUAAUUAUAUUAAUAAUUAUUGAACUUGUGUAUGUUCUAAGGUCUAGUGGGUGUCCAAAUUACUUUGGAUUUGGACUUUUCCAUGGACCAAGACCCCCUUUGUAGAACCAUGCAAACAAGCUACAACUUACUGGAGUUUUGAGUAUGAGACUCUGGAGAGUUCGAUAGUAUUAUUGAAUCAUCUGGAGUAGUACUAAAAGAUAAUUCAAAUUAUUUUGUGAAACAUGAAGUGGAAAAAAGGAGGGUACACGGGAUAUUACACCGUGUGUGUUACCAAAACGUCUUGUUAUGUCUAUAAAUGGCAGCAAACGGAGCCAUCGUAUAUACUAUGGCCUUAUGCUUAGCAGUUUUUUGGAUUUGUUUCAAAAUUUGUAACCAAACUUAAUUUUGUAGCUAUACUUUUUUUUAGGGGAAAAAUGAGUCAAACUCUGUUAGGUCAAGCUAGGAGAAAGUCCAAAGACCAAACUCCAUAUUACUAUGCGUUGCACAUAUUCAUGCUAGAAGCAUGUCUACAAAACAAAAGAAAAACUACAAACUCUACUAAAAAGCUUAUUGUCUAAAAUUGGACUUAUUUUAGCCUAGAAAGCAAUAACCUAUAUAACCAAACCAAAGUACCACAGCUCAAGGAAUCGAGGUCUAAAACCAUUUCGGUGUACCUUUCCAUCAAAAAUGGGGGUAGCCUCUUCAAUAGGGUUAUGUAGGGAUUUGUCGGCCCAUCUACUAAACUAGGCUCAAGCCCAAACCCAAAUGAAGAGAGAAGAGAAGAAGUGGAGGCCCAAAGGUUCAGCCCACCAGGCAGCGACAUGCAACCCAGCAGACUAAGACCCAGGCCCAAACUAGUUCUUCAUCUCUCCCAUCUAGAUUAGGCCUGAGAUUAGGUCGUCGGAGAAGCCUCCUGCCCUCGAUUCAGUCUAGUGGCUUGGCUGCCUUGAAAUCCAUGAUCCUCGUCGUCGGCCGCCGCUGCUCCAAGCGUUGUUAGAGAGCGCCACUGUUACCCAUGCUCCCAAUCAACCCCGAUCAGAAGAAUAGAUCGGAAAAGCUUCACCUAUGUCAGUCAGAUUCUCCAAGCCCCUGCUGCAUGUACACCACCUCCUCCAAGGACGGUGCUCCCAAAACCUGAAGUCUAAACCCAAUGUCUCAGACGCCGAUGUGAACCAAAAGUUGUCUGCCUCUAUUCGCUGGAACCAAGACUGCCUCACCCAGUCUACGUAUCAGUCUGAGCUCCUCGCCGAGUUGAGAUGCCGUCACAGAGCCCACAAUUAGAGUUCUCCGCCGCCUAACGCCAAAACCCUAGGUUUUGGUAUUCUCGCUCUGCUUUUUGUGGAACGUCUCUCAACAUUAUUUUGUAGAUAUACUUAUCUGCAAAGUUUAUUUAUUUUUUUUAUGAAAGCUUAAUUAGAUUUUUCUCUACUUUUCAAAUUUUUUUUAUCCAAUAAAGUUAAGACUCGAGGAUUUGGGAAUACAAACAGACACUAAAAAAAGGUAAAAUAUUGUAUAGUCCUUGUGGUUUAAAGUCGACAUCUGUUUAGUCCUUAUGGUUUUAUUGUAAUCUGAAUAUAUAGUUCUUAAAGUCACGAUUUUUCAUCCAAAUAGUCCUUAUGGUUUUAUUUUAAACUGAAUAGUCCUUAAAGUCAUGAUUUUUAUCCAAAUAGUCCUUAUGGCCUUUAACUGAGAAAAUNNNNNNNNNNNNNNNNNNNNAUGAAAAAUUGUGACUUUAAGGACUAUUCAGAUUAAAAUAAAACCACAAGGACUAAACAGAUGUCGACUUCAAACUACAAGGGCUAAACAAAUUUCAAUUCAAAAAAAAAAACAGAGACGGGAGAACCCUAGAGACAGCUCUUCCACGAGAGAACCACGCCUAGUCCGGCGGCACGCCCUUACGACGUCGUCGUCAGACGGGGCCGCAAAGGACCUCAUGUCCGGAGAGGAUGAUCCUACGGAGCAAGAGUGGUGGGGGCUAUGACUUUGUCUUGAUCGGUAGCAGGUUUCAAAGGAGAGAGAUGGUGGAUUCGAAUCAGGGUCGAUGUAUCUGAGAUUGGAGCGCAGACAUGCGGAGUCGGCGUUGUGUGGUCGGAGCCCACCUGGUGAUGAUGAGUUGAUGGCAGAAGCACCGAUAUCGGAUCUUAAUGGUCUGGUUUUGAAUUCGCGGAUGUGCAAUCAAUCUUGGAAACGAUGACUUCAGCAGGCUUGGAGGUCGGAGAUCGAAAGUGAUCUCUGGGCGACGGGUUGGCAGCGGUGGAUGGGGUGUGCGGAUCGAAGGGUUACAGUUUCGACGGGAUGGAGGCGACAUGCCUUGGCAUCUUUGGGCUCUGUUGUGGGUCUGGUGGAGUUUUGGGCUUUUUACUUGUCAUUGGGCCCUUUCUAUGUUACUUUCCUUAGUCUUUCUAGUCUUCUAAACCCAUCUUUUAGGACCACUAGGGUUUUAAAUUAGUUUUUACUAGUUAAUUUCCAACAAGUCUUUAUGUAGGUUUUUAGGAAUCUAGGUAGGUUUUGAUGCCUACAGAUUAUAAUAUUUCUUUUACAUCUAGAUAAUGACCACUUCCUAUCAUACCCAAUGGUCUAAAAGGCGCUAGGCGCUAGGGGGCGGCGACCCAUAGCCUAGUGCCUAGACAGCCUAGGCGGGGACUAGGCGAUUUCCUUUUUUUACAUUUAAUUAGUAUAUAUAUAUAUAUAUAUAUAUAUAUAUUAUUUGAAAUUAGUAAAAUAUGAAUAAAAAAAAUGGCAUGACCUUUCUCCAAAAGUGAGCAACCCAACCUGUAAAUUUACAAACAAAUAUGAUUUCUAAUUCAAAGCACCAUCAACUCUUGAAUUCACAUCAUAAUCACCACACAACAACUUCAAAAUAGCAUAUACUUUCCCACAUAACUUGCACUUCACUUUGUCUAAAUUUGAAGGGUUCACCAAUGCCCCAUAUUCCCAUCCAACAUCUUCGGAAUUACGCUUCAAAGACACAUCUAUCUCUGACAUUGCAUUUGACCCUCCGGAAGAUGUAGUACGACUACUACCAGCCAUUUUCUAGCAAAAAACAAGCCAUUAUAUAGUGAUACACUCAUACACAUACGCAUUGCUAUCCUUAAUUAGUUCCUUAAGGACCUUAACAGAUUAACAAUACCACUGCAAACUUCACAGAUUUAUACAUAUAAUAUAUUGAAUACUCAUGUAUUCCCUGCAAACUUCAUGGGAUCAGUCCAUCCCCUCAGUUAAUGCAUGAUCCUCAAAACUGCCAUUAGNNNNNNNNNNNNNNNNNNNNNNNNNNNNNNNNNNNNNNNNNNNNNNNNNNNNNNNNNNNNNNNNNNNNNNNNNNNNNNNNNNNNNNNNNNNNNNNNNNNNNNNNNNNNNNNNNNNNNNNNNNNNNNNNNNNNNNNNNNNNNNNNNNNNNNNNNNNNNNNNNNNNNNNNNNNNNNNNNNNNNNNNNNNNNNNNNNNNNNNNNNNNNNNNNNNNNNNNNNNNNNNNNNNNNNNNNNNNNNNNNNNNNNNNNNNNNNNNNNNNNNNNNNNNNNNNNNNNNNNNNNNNNNNNNNNNNNNNNNNNNNNNNNNNNNNNNNNNNCAAAGAACUAGGAAGUGGGAACUUGGGAAGUAUAUUCAUACCAGAAAUCCAGAAUAUAACUGGGAAGUGGGAACUGCGCACCGCCAAGUCGCCAACAGAUUGAGAAGUAUAUUCACUUCUCUGAGUUCUCUCCCAAUAAGUCCCAACUAAUUGCUGCCUUGUCUUCUUAGCUGUAUAACAGAUUAACAAUAUAAGGAGGAGAAUCAAAACCCAACAAGGCAACAAGCCAACAACACAAGCAGCCAGCCAAAAACAUAAGAAUAUUGUUUUCAUAGAAGCAGUAGAAGCAGAGAUUUAAAACAGAGAUUUGAAGAAAUACCUGUCAAGACGGAACAAGAAAGAGAGAGAGAGUCGACGACGAGCGGAGAAGGUCACUGACCGGUAGAGAACGACGAGGUCGCUCAAUUUGGGAGAGGCGAAUCGGCAAGGUUGAUCAGUUUGGGAGAGGGGAAACAACAAGGUCGGGUAGUUUAGGAGAAUGAGAAACCAAUUUGGGAAUUAGGUUAAGUAAGCCCGCUGUUUUUAUUGGGUUUUUUUUUUGGAAGCGCCUUCGACGUCUAGUCCCGCCUUGACCAAGACCGCCUUAGACUCGCCUGCAACGCCUCGACGGCGCCUUGACCGCCUAGGCGGUCCCUAGGCGGCUGGCCGCCUAACCUGAACGCCUAGGGGAUAAUCUGGGCGGUUGAGCUCCGCCUACAGCCUAGGCGGCUGGCCGCCUAACUUGAACGCCUAGGGGAAAAUCUGGGCGGUUGAGCUCCGCCUACAGCCUAGGCGGCGCCUUUUAGAACCCUAAUCGUACAGCAAUUGAACGUCUUGACGACGGAAGUUUUCAUGUAAAAUUAUAUCUAUGUAGGGCUAGAUUAUAGCUUGUUAGGCUCAUCAUUGAUGAGCGACAAUGUACAAUAUAAUGGUAUGUGAAUCACCUUAAUUCGUUGAGAUCUGUAACGGUGUCAUUUUUGCUGCGACUAUUAAUACAAUGGGUUAUAUGCCCGCUUUUACGUAAAAAAAGAGAGAAUACAAGUGAACAAUCCUGAAUCAUAAAAUCAUCACGAGUAUGGUAUCAAGUUCUGAAUGAUCAUAACAGUACAAACACGUGUAUCAUAUUUAUUUUGGUCUGUGUGACAUGAUUUAUUUUUCUUGUUUGGAUUGGAUCGGAGUGGUUGACAUAACUAAUCGAUUCACACACAAAAAAAAAAUUAAAAAAAUAGUACAUACGCGCCUAAACGGGGUGAUUACUCCCUUUUUAAAAUUUGUAGUUUGGACUUUGGACUUUGGACGAUUCUGUAACGUCAGGAAAUUAUUCAAAGGAUAAGAAGGAGGUGGCCAUACCCAAAUCUGUGGUGAUUCUCAUGUCGUCCCCACUUUGAUCAUACAGCAACCAAAAUGAAAUGAAAUAAUUUACUUAUUCACGCACACCCUACACGCACAAAUUUUUUUAUUCAAACUUCUCAUUUCUUUUAUUAAUAGAACUAAGAUAUUAAGCAAAUAUAUUAAUACUAAACAAAAUUACAUGCAUGCUAUUAAUAUACUAGUUAAACAGAAAAAUUAGAAAGAAUUGCCUCAUAGUUUUUUCUCGACGAGAGAGUCGUCAUAUAGUUCUCUCUCAAAACCUUAGAAAGAGCCAUUUGAUAAUUUUCUCUCGAAAUAUUCAACUAUAUUAAUACUAAGCAAAAUUACACGUAACAGCCUGCCAUAUAAGGUUGCCACAAAUUACGCACGCACAUUCAGUAACUUACCUACACUAAACCUGAGAGAUAAUAAAUAAAGAUGGGUUGUAGAUUAGUCUUGUCGUCGUUUCUUCAAGUCUGAUUGGGCAUUUCAAGUUUUCAACCCAUGUAGUGAAGAUUGCAGCACAAGCUUCCUCGACCUCCAUCAUAUAUAUAUAGGCAAGGAUAAUCUCCUCUUCACUUGCUUAACCUCCUCGACGAGGUGCAACAACAAUAACCUUCUCAACCUCCACCAUUGUCUCACCUUCAACAAUAACCUUCUCUGUCACCCGUCACCAUCAUGGUAGGCCAUUAUCCUACCAUCGAAAGUUGAAAGGGAAAAUAUUUGAAUGAUACUUCGCCAACACAAACAAAAUGAAUGAUCAUUUGGGUACCGAAUUAGAUUAAAUGAAUCAAAUGAACAAAAUCUGUCCAAACAGAACCGUUAGUGUAAAUCAUAAUUACUGAAGCUCAAAUGAUCUCCAAAUUAGAUGAAAUUUUGCAUGAAUGAUCUACACACUAUGUACUAGACACUUAACGGUAGAGAUGUGAAAAUGUAACCUAAAAGUGAGCGAAAUGAGGAGUACNNNNNNNNNNNNNNNNNNNNGAUCCUUUUUUUUGUUUUAUUUCUGGGGAUAGGGUAUUUGACAAACUUCCCGAUCACAAAAUCACAUCUCCAACGUUCAGUUUGUAGGUGUAUAUGAGUAGAUCACUUAUGCAAAUUUUUAGAAAAUUUGGUGAUCGUUAAGUCAUCCAAAUGUUUGAUUUAUUUUUAAUAAUCUUGAACGGUGUAGGUUUGACAUAAGUGUUAAGAUUUUUGUUUUAAUCCCAGCCAUCAAAGCCCAUUAAAAAACAGAUCUAAUGGUGUGGGCCUAUCCCUAAAAGUAACAAAAAAUAUCCCUCAUUGGAAUGGCCCUGUAUAUAUAUACGGGGAUUAUUAGGUGCGGACGUCCGGACGGGUUUUCCGUCCGGAUUUCAGCCGUUUCUCCACCAUUCCAGUGCCGGCGACGCCGUUUCUUCUCCCCAGCGUGAUCUCAGACCUCCCCCAACAGUGUUAGAAUGAAGAAGAAGGCCAGAGAGAUCGGGAUCGGAGGUCCACCAUGAUCGGUUGUGAAGUUCUGAGUGAGAUUGCUGCACAGACCUCCGAUCACGAUCUCUCUGGCCUUCUUCUUCAUUCCAACACCGUCGGGGGAGGUCUGGGAUCACGCCGGGGAAAAGAAACAGUGUCGCCGGCGCUGGAAUUGUGGAGAAACAGCUGAAAUCCGAAUGGAAAACCCGUCCGGACGUCCGUAUCUAAAAACGACUGUAUAUAUAUAUAGCCCAGAUCAAGAGCGGACGUCCGCACUGGGCUUAAAGUGCGGACGUCGCCAAUUUCUCCACCUUCAGGGCGUCGACAGCAGCGCUUCUCUUGCUGGACGGAUAGCAGACCUUGAUACUGAGCUUCCUCUUGCCAGUGGACUCGCCGGCUACAAGUUUGCAGCCAACCUUGAUCGGAUAGCCCAAGUUGCGGCACAGAGCUCCGAUCCCGAUCCCGAUGACCUUCUUCUUCAUGUCAACGUUGUCCCAAAGGCCUCUGGUGUUGAUCCGGCAAGAGAAGCGCCACCGUCGAUGCCCCUGAAGGUGGAGAAAUCGGCAACGUCCACACUCGAACGGGCCUAUAUAUAUAUAAACUUUUUGAAGCGGACGUCCGCACUUUAAGCACCGGACGGCUCCGACGAUGGCGCGCCUCCACCGGAGCAGACACCGGCGGCAUCCCCGAUCACUUUCCCUUACCAGCGAGAUCGAUUUGAAGGUCUGGGCAACAACCUCCACCCAAAACUUCAGACAAGAUCGAUCUCGGCUGCAAACUGGUAUUCGGGGAACUCGCCAGCAAAGGAAAAUGAUCAAGGAUGCCGCUGGUGUCCGCUCGGGUCCGCUUUGGUGGAGGCUCGCCGUCGUCGGAGCCAUCCGGUGGAAAACGGAGGGACGUCCGCACUUUCAGCUAGUGCGGACGUCCGCUUCAGAUCGGGCUUAUAUAUAUGUAGAUUUUCUUAGGUGCGGAUGUCCACAUUUAUUCUUACGGUGCAAAGUUCCACUUUACACUCACUUUUCAAUCGAAUUUUCACAUCUCCACAGUCUAAUCUUUAGAUACUAAUGUAUAGAUCAUCUCUGCAAAAUUUCGGCCAAUUUGGUUAUCAUUAAGGCACUCAAACUCGAUUAAACCAAUGAAUGAACAUAAUUCUGUCGAACUUGAAUCGUUCAUGUUUAUAACAAAAAAACACAGUUUUGAGUGUCUUAAUGAUAACCAAAUUAUCUGAAAUUUUGCAAAGAUGAUCUAUACAUUAGUAUCUAAAUACUACACGGUGGAGAUGUGAAAAUUCGAUUGAAAAGUGAGUGUAAAGUGGAAAUCUGCACCGUAAGAAUAAAUGUGGACGUCCACAGCUGAGAAGCUCUGUAUAUAUGUAUGCUAGUGUUAUUAUUAACACACCCCAUUUAUUUUUCUAUCCGCACAUUUCACUUUUAUUUACAAACUUGUCAUUUAAAUUUGUUUUAUGAUUGAUUCUCAUUAUAGAUGAGGUGUGUUAAUAGAUUAGUUAUAAUAUAGGGAAAAUUGUCCAAAUAGUGUCUCACCUUUCACAUAAGCUAAGUUUUGGUAUCCCAACUUUAGAAAACUUUAAAACAGUAUCUCACGUUUAUACCCCAACCUAAGUUUGGUGUCUAGAACCGUUACCUCAGUUAAGAAUAACUGACGUCAGUCAUAUUUGAUCAUAAAAUGACCAAAUUACCCUUUAACCUUUUAUUUUUCAUUACUUUUUUAAUAUAAUAAAAUAACUGAAGAAAAAGCUAUUAAUUUAGAACUAGUCUUUACAGACCAACAAAUUAAAAAAAAAUUGGUCUUUAGUUUGUGAUAGACAACUCCUCUCCUCUCUUCUCUACCUAGACACACACACUGAGAGCCGGAGAGGAGAUCUACGAUGAAUACGAUCUCUUCUCCUUCCAUUUCCACAGGUGAAACAAACAUAGGGAUGUCUUUCACCAGGCUUUCUGCCAUCUCUUUGCCUACACAGAUAUGCGUAUACAAACAUGGUGGGUCGACGCGAUGCCAAUGAUAAGACCACCAUUCUCUACAAACUCAAGCUCAAGCUCGGCGAGUUCGUAUAUCUAGAGCAAUGAUAGAUCACCCAAAAAAGCACUAUCUAUUCCGCCUCGCCAUGGCCCCUCUUCUUUAAAACUCACUAUCCAUUCCUUCUUUUACCCCGACUGAUUGAGUAGCAGCCUAUGGCACAAUUUAACCCAGACAUGUGAUUCAUGGAUCACUUCUUACAAUGACAAAUUGAAACAGGGGUAUCAACAUUCAAGGUCACAGUAAAACUCCUAGUCUCCUACCUUGAAAAACAUAGUUCAUAUAAAAAUAUUUACAACCUAGAACCCCAAGUUGGUAAAUUUGGCACUCUUUAGUCAAAGCCCCAAUUCCAUAAUGCAAACAGAGGAAGAACACGAAAUAAUAAGAAGGUAUAUCAAGUCAAAAAUCAAAGUAUAAUAAACACAAGUACCUCAAUAUCUCUAUUAGUAAUAACACCAUGAUCCAAGUUAGUUACAUAAAGAUUGGUGCUUCCCUCAACCCUUGGGCUCCAAACCACAGUGGCUCAAUACAUCCAAAUUACGUCUUCGACGUUGACGACGCCAUGACCAAGUUGUCGCCCUUGAACCUGAUCAACCGAACCCCCGAGGCUGGGAAAGGAGUGCGGCACUCGAGACGGGCGGGUUGUGGCAGUUGUCGGAGUUAGGUCUGGGAAUUGAAUUUGGAGUUGGUGAAAUCCAGUGGAUAGAAUAGGGGAGAGAGAUAAGGUAGGAAAAGAGAAAAGAGAAAAGAAAAAAGAAAAAAAAAGGUUAAAAUAUUUGUCCAGAAAAAAUGUUAAAAUACAAAAAGACCAAACUAUCCUUCAGUUGUUAGUCAUUUUAACGGAGGUAACAAUUCUAGACACCAAACUUGGGUCGAGAUUAAAACGUAAGAUACUGUUGUGAAAUUUUCUAAAGUUAGGAUACCAAAAUUUAGCUUCUCAUAAAGGUGUGAUACUAUUUAGAUCAUUUUUUCUAUAUAAUAUAUAUAGUAUACAGUGAACUUCAUGUGAAGCAGACUAACAGCUAACGAAAACUACGUAACUCCAUCUUAAAAAAUUGAGGUCUGAAAAUCAAGUUUUUUAUUUUUUAUUUUUUAUCAGAAGAAAUAACUAGCCGACACAUUUUCUGAACGAGCUGGAUAAUAUCUAGAUAUGUGUCGUUGUUUACAGGACCAUGUCAUUGCUUAAAAAAAAUAAAAAAUCGAAAUCCACUCUGUCACUUAUUUUGAUAUAUAGAUAUAUAUAUAGAUGGAGCUCGAGGUCUGAACUGAACUCUAUAAAUAGGCUUGAUUGUAUCAGUUACGUGAAAACGCAGCAGUAUUCAACAUUAUAUAUGGCGUUUGGAGGUUCUGUGUUCUUUUCGUUGCUGCUAGCUUUGGCUGCGGCUGCUAGCUUCUCCUUUGGCACUGCCCGUGCUUACUAUAUCCCUUUUAACCGAAGCAGUUUUCCGAGUGAUUUCCUUUUUGGUGUUGGUUCAGCUGCUUAUCAGGUAUCCCUCCCUUUAUUAUAUAUCUACGUACGUACGUACGUAUGCGUGUUAAUUCGUAUCCGUAUAUAUGCAAAGUGUAGCUACUGAUUGAUGGUAUAUAUGCUCUUUUAAUUGUUGUUUCUUCAAUCCGUUAUCGAUGCAUCUCAGUCAGAAGGAGCAGCAUUAGUCGACGGAAGGGGACCUAGCAUCUGGGAUACUUUUGUUAGAAAGCAUCCAGGUCUCUCUCUCUCUCNNNNNNNNNNNNNNNNNNNNCUCUCUCUCUCUCUCUCUCUCUCUCUCUCUCUCUCUCUCUCUCUCUCUCUCUCUCUCUCUCUCUCUCUCUCUCUCUCUCUCUCUCUCUCUCUCUCUCUCUCUCUCAUAUGCAUGUUUCCCUGAGCUACGUAUUCAUGUAUUAAAGAGGGAACGAGCAAGAGGCCACAUGCUCUACGUGCUAUAUAUGCUCGCAAAUCGACUUAAACUGGUUUUUGCUUUUGAUUCAGGACUUUAUCUGCUUGGUCACCAGGGAAAAAAAAAAUCACUAAGACACUGCAUGCCUAAGAGCUUAGCACUAGUUGUGAUUACUUGUAUAAUUUUAACGAAAGUGAGAGUUUGUCCAAUUAAUAUUAUCACAUUUGCUAGAUGAUAUAGGACCGAUAUCUAUGUAAACAUAUGAAAAAGCAAUUACAAAUAAAGUCAUAAUCCAUUGAGUAAUAGAUUGUAAUGUACUAUUAUAAUAUUCAAUUUUUUAUGUAUUGCGCUACAGUAAAGUGACGUUUAUUGUGAAAGUGUUAUUGCGUGAUGACAGAAAAGAUAUGGGAUCACAGCACCGGAGAUGUAGCAAAUGACUUUUACCAUCGUUAUAAGGUAAAUUUAAAUGACUUUCUCAUUACUUAAUAAUCAAGCACACUGAAAUAAGUUCUACUUAUAUAUAAUCAACAAAGCCAUCGCUAUCCUUUGAAGAAGAAAAAUUAAUUGGAUGGCAAUGUAUUAUAUAUGCUCAAAAAUUAAGUACGCGGUUGUUAUGGGAAUGUGAUCAUCUGUUAAUACCUCCUAAUAUUGCUUCAUAUAUGAGAGAUAUGGGUCAUCCAACCUUGAUCAUACGGACAAAAAUUUAAAUGUCGUGUAGCCGUGUGAGGUGGGACCCACCCAAAUGGAAGAGAUUCUGGCCGUAAGAUUAAGAUUAAAUGAUUGAUAUUAGGGAUCUCAUCGGACAAUAUUAAGAGAGGAUCUUGAUCCAUUUGUUUCGAUGACUGAUGCACGAACUGAUAUGACAGGAAGAUAUCAAAUUGAUGAAGAAAAUUGGGUUGGACACCUUCAGAUUCUCAAUCUCAUGGUCCAGAUUACUUCCAAGUAAGAACUAAUUAAGAUGAUAAUGUUGUGUAACCCAUCUUAAUCAUAGAAACAACUAAAUAUACGUCAAAAAUGGUUAAUAAUUACUUGGCAUGUUCUGAUGUUCAUGGCAACUACAAAAUUAUAUACAUAUUGACAUGUUCAACUCUUGUGCUUCUCGAUCGAUCAGAGGGAAAACUCAGCGGAGGAGUCAACCCACUCGGUGUCAAAUUUUACAACAAUCUCAUCAAUGAGCUCGUAUCAAACGGUGAACAUCUCAAUUCUGCUCUCAAUUUUCUGGCUCUAUCACAUUUUCCUAUGAAUGAAAUUGCUUUCUCUAUGAAUGAAAUUGCUUUCUCUAUCACAUUUCUCUUGACUAAUAAACUGUUGAGAAUUUGGCAAGUUUCAUAGUCGACGAUCAUUCCUAAUUUUCCUAUAUAUUAAUUUGAUGUGAGAAUUGAAGGUAUCAAGCCCUUUGUGACUUUACUCCAUUAUGAUCCUCCCCAAGCACUUGAUGAACUGUAUGGCGGGCUCUUAAGCCGAAACAUAAUGUAAGACAACGUGUAUCAGUUAGACGGAUCGGACUACCCACAUAUAUAUGUAAUUGAUCAUUAUAACUAGUGGUAACGUGAUCAUUUCGGCACUUGAUGUUUAACAGAAACGAUUACGGAGAUUAUGUGGACUUUUGUUUCAAGACUUUUGGUGAUCGAGUAAAGCACUGGGUCACGAUGAACGAACCUAACGGAUUUGCUAUUAAUGGCUACAACGGCGGUACCUUUGCGCCGGGGCGGUGUUCUAACUAUGAGGGUAACUGCACUUCCGGUAACUCAGCGACUGAACCCUACAUUGCGGCACACCAUUUGCUUCUUGCUCAUUCAGCUGCUGUCAAGAUAUACAAGGACAAAUAUCAAGUACUGUAACCCUAGCUGCAUUCGUUAUAUAUUUGAAUAUUACGAUGAAUACGUGAAUAUAGAUAUAUAACUUGAAUUAACGAACUAAUGUGAAUAUAUGUAAGCAGGCUACCCAAAAGGGACAGAUCGGGAUUACCAUAGUGACUCACUGGUGGAAACCUAAGUUCCCAGAACAGCUGGCUAGCCGAAGAGCCACUCUUAGAUCACUCGACUUUAUGUUUGGAUGGUGAGGCUAGCUGCUUAAAUAUUAAGACGUAAUUCUUCUGUAAAACUUCAUGUGUUGAUUUUGUAUGAAUUUUCAAUAUCUUGUAGGUUUGCCAAUCCUAUAUUUCAUGGGGAUUAUCCGGCGGUCAUGAAAUCUUUGGUCGGGGAUCGAUUGCCGAAAUUUACAGAAGCUGAGUCGAAGCAGAUAAAAGGCUCCCUCGAUUUUCUUGGGUUGAAUUACUACACAGCAUAUUACACAGUUGAUGAACCAGCUUUAUCCAACGCUGUCAACCAUAGUUGGAGUGCAGACAGACAAGUCGGUGCUUCUACUAGUAUGCAUCCAUCAAUCAUUAAUCCCCACACGUACCAUAUAUAAUAACUAAGUUCAACUGCUAUUCGAUUCUAACACAUCUAAAUCUAUUUUGUUGUCACAGCUGAUAAAAAUGGGGCUCUUAUUGGUGCAGCGGUAUGUACUAAUUCAUUCUCUCUAGCUCUAUGGUAUACGUUCAAGUUAUUCAUUUAGAUACUGAUGUUUACAAUUAUGUGGUAAACAUGCAGACUGAUCUGGAUUGGCUUUUCGUUUAUCCGAAAGGGAUCAGAGAGGUUCUUUUGUAUAUAAAGGAGAAGUACAAUAACCCAAACAUUUAUAUUACUGAGAAUGGUAAAACGAUCGAUUCUCUUAUAUAUAACCAUAUAUUACAUGAUUAAUUUUAGUAUUUUAUGCAUGCUAAGAUUGUAUAUAAUUUUGCAGGAUAUGCAUACGGAUAUAAUGCCUCAACACCAAUUCAAGAAGCUCGUAAGGAUAAUUUGAGGAUAAGAUACCAUCACGACCAUUUGUGGUAUCUUUUGAAGGCUAUUAAGUGAGUCACACUCGUUCAUGUAGUGCAUGGUUUUUGGUAUAAUUUAUAAUUAGAGAUUGAGUUAAUAAUUAUUCGAUUAAUUGUUAUUGAUUGAAUAUUUCAGGGAUGGGGUAAAAGUGAAGGGAUACUACGCAUGGUCAUUUUGGGAUGACUUCGAAUGGGAUGCUGGUUACACAGUUGGGUUUGGCCUAACAUUAGUUGAUGUCAAGGAUAAUCUGAAAAGAUACCUCAAGUAUUCUGCCUAUUGGUACAAGAUGUUCCUCCUGCACUGAUAUGCUGGCUUAUGGAUUGAUCCAUCACCUAGCCUGCGGAUCAUACCUCUCUAUCUACUCCAAAUAAAUUGAGCAAUAAUUUCCCAAUAAUUUCCUUAUGUAUGUCAUCUACCUAGCUAUAUGUAUGUAUCUUCAGCUAGCUCUCAUCAAUAAGAACUAUUGGUCCGCUUUAAUUGUGUUUUUCUGGUAGAGAGUUUCAAUUUAUGCACAUACUUAAGUGGGAACUACCAUAUAGUUAAAUUAUCAAUUCAAAUAGCUAGUUUUGUUUACUGUAUCAUUAUGUAAGUAAUGAAAUUAUAUACAUACUGAAGAAACGACAAACCAGCAACCAUCAAGUUUCGUGACAGGAACCAGAUCCGGAUCUGGAGCUCGAGAAGCCGCGAUCUUGCAUUCACGGCGUUGGCCAAAACCUUCGAUCCGCCAACUCCAGUUCGACCAUCGACCCUCUGCCGCGCAAGACCUCCUUUGCUCCACCCCCAUCUAUCCUCCCGCCGCGCCUUCGCCUCCGAUGCAGCAGCCGAAAAAUCGCUUCGGUUGAGAACCCGAUCUGCUCAAAACCCAUAAUCGAGCCACAAACAUAACCCAUGAAUCGUCUUCCCGUCCGGCCGCCCUCCACGUGCAUCGGCUCGGCCAUCGACCGCUACCGGUGCCGCGGCGCAACCGGACGAGAUAAAGAGGAGAAGGUGUUUUCAGAAAGUUUUAGAGAGGCGCGCGUGUGAGGCGCGUUCUAGAUCCCCUAUCCUCAUCCUUUGAUAAAGCUGACUCGAAAGAGAUGUUACGACUGAAAAAUAAACUACUUUUUAUGAAAAUUGAAUUCGACUUUUUUCUUUUUUUCUUUUUCCAGAUUUCUUUAUCCAAUAAAGUUCAGACUUGAGAGACUUUUCACAUGUAUAAUCAUUUUGAAUUCGGAUUUGGGAAUACAAGUGAAAAAACCUGAAUCAUAAAAUCAUCACGAGUAUGCUAUCAAGCUCUGAAUGAUCAUGACAGUACAAACACGUGUAUCAUAUUUAUUUUGGUCUGUGUGACAUGAUUUAUUUUUCUUGUUUGGAUUGGAUCGGAGUGGCUGAUAUUCUAAUGACAUGACAUAACUAAUCGAUUACCAAAAAAAAAAAAAAAGUGCAUGCGAGCCUAAACGGGGUGAUUAUUAUUCAAAGGAUAAGAAGGAGGUGGCCAUACCCAAAUCUGUGUGUGAUUCUCAUGUCGUCCCCACUUUGAUCAUACAGCUACCAAAAUGAAAUGAAAAUAAUUUACUUAUUCACGCACACCCUACACGCACAAAUUUUUUAUUCAAACUUCCCAUUUCUUUUAUUAAUGAACUAAGAUAUUAAGCAAAUAUAUUAAUACUAAACAAAAUUACACGUAAUUAAUUGUAACAUCCUGACGUUAAACUUAUUUGAAUAAGUAAAUAAGCUAAUUCCCAAAUACCAUCAUAGUUGCAAAACAGAUCAGCAAUCCAAAUCAAAGAAAUCAAUGAUAAGUCAUUCAACUCAAUCUCAAAAUCGAUUACAACUAUUGAACAAUUCUCAUAAUCCAGUAUCCCAAUCGUUACUCAAGAUCUUACCGUAGGUAGUGUUAAUUUUACUUUCACAACUCUAGCCACAGCCAUAAUCAAAGCCGAUUUCUAAUCCCCUCCAACUCAUGGAUGGUCGGAACAAGUCAAUUCCAAUGGUAAGCCACGAACCAUGCAUCAACAUCCCUCCAUCACAGGGCUUGUCAGCACCGUUGGGAUGAAGUGAAUGGACGACGAACCGUUGUAAGACGAUGGUUUUAGGAAAGAAUCCUGGCUGGGCCUAUAUAAUACCCUUGAUUAUAAAAUAUAAGAAAUAAUCUUUUUAUUUGGGCUGGUAUGUCCUUAUACAUAUGCACAUGUACGUGUAUAUAUAUAAUCUAUGUUGUAAUACUCCAAUAAUUUGGUAAUUCAAUUUACUUUGGUAAAUGUACACAUGGGGCUUACUAAAGUCGUAUCAAGAUGGGGUUAGUUAAGAUCUAAGUUUUAGUGGCCUGGUAAUUGCUCGGGAGUAUUUAUUUUUAGAUACUUAUGUUUACUAAGAUUUAUGUAUAAUGUGUAUAUGUAUAUACAUUGCCUCAAAGUUAAUACAACUUGAUAAUAAAAUAAAAUAAGAAUAAAGAAAGAAAGAUCAAGAGGGAUGGGAAAGAUAAAAAAAUAAAAGAAGAGGAGAGGAGAAGUCGAGAGACUUCAGGAAGGAAGAAAAAAAGAGAACCUGGGAGAACAAACAAAAGGAAAGGAAAGAAAGAAGAGGGGAAGCUUCUAGGGGGCUCUCACCCUCUCUAGAACUCUGACGGUCUCUCUCUCUAUCUCUGGGGGCUUUUCUCCGAUUUUGUUUUUUUUUGGGCUGAGAGGAGGGGAAAAAGACCUGGAGGAGGACAAUCUAGUGGGAGGAAGGCCCAGCCAGGAUUCUUUCCCAAAACCAUCGUCUUACAACGAUUCGUCGUCCAUUCACUUCAUCCCAACGGUGCUGACAAGUCCUGUGGUGGAGGGAUGUUGAUGCAUGGUUCGUGGCUUACCGCUGGAAUUGACUUGUUCCGACCAUCCAUGAGUUGGAGGGGAUUAGAAAUCGGCUUUGAUUAUGGCUGUGGCUAGAGUUGUGAAAGGUAAAAUUAACACUACUUACGGUAAGAUCUUGAGUAACGAUUGGGAUACUGGAUUAUGAGAAUUGUUCAAUAGUUGUAAUCGAUUUUGAGAUUGAGUUGAAUGACUUAUCAUUGAUUUCUUUGAUUUGGAUUGCUGAUUUGUUUUGCAACUGUGAUGGUAUUUGGGAAUUAGCUUAUUUACUUAUUCAAAUAAGUUUAAGGUCAGGGUGUUACAUUAAUAUACUAGAUAAAUAGAAAAAUUAGAAAGAAUCGCCUGAUAGUUCUUUCUUGAUGAGAGAGUCGUCAAAUAGUUCUCUCUCAAAACCUUAGAGAGAGUCGUCUGAUAGUUUUCUCUCGACAUAUUUAACUAUAUUAAAUACUAAGCAAAAUUACACGUGACAGCCCGUCAUAUAAGGUUGUCACUAAUUACGCACAUCCAGUAACUUACCUAUGCUAAAACUGAGAGAUAAAAAAAAAGAAAAAAAAAAAGAAUGGGUUGUAGAUUAGUCUUGUUCCUGUUUCUUCAAGUCUGAUUGGGCACUACAACACUCAUGCAGUAAAGAUUGCGGCACAAGCUCCCUCCACCUCCAUCAUAUAUAGGGAAGGAGAAUCUCCUCUUCACUUGCUUAACCUCCUCGACCUGUGGUGCAGCAACAAUAACCUUCUCAACCUCUACCAUUGUCUCACCUUCAACAAUAACCUUCUCUGUCACCUGUCACCAUCAUGGUAGGCCGUUAUCCUACCAUCGAAAGUUGAUAGGGCAAAUAUUUGAAUGAUGCGUCGCCAGCAUAAAGGCUGUGCGAUCUGUCAAGUUAUCAUGAAUCAUCAAAGCGAUGGGCAGAGGCUGCGUUGACCUUUUAUCUAAUAAAUGCAUCCAUUCCAAAAGUCAGGAUUUGUUGCACGUAUUAGAUCUAGAAUUACUAUGGUUAUCUGAGUAUUAGAUAACAUUAAACAAACUAUAAGUGAUUAAUGAGUCAUUUGCAGUUUCACGGUAUGAAUUAGUUCAUACUUAGAGAUGGUGGGGGUACACUGGAUUGGGCUACUGGUCCAAUUCAUUUUAUCUCACUUUGUUAGGUAGUUUUUGGUUAGUGAAUAAUGCGAUUACAUUAGACAAUUGUUGGUAGUGUAGAUUGGUUUGUUUUUGUAGCUAUUUCUGGUCCCACAUCAUUAUAUUACGGGAUACUCAAUUCCUAACUUGACAGAGUGACGUCAUUAGUUUUUCUUGGAGUUUUGGUUUUUAAUUUGUAGUUUGUAGUAAGUUCUUAACUUUGUGUGUGAGUGGUCGUCAGAUCAUUCAGACAUUGAUCGCUUUGCAGUCGUUAUUGGCUUUAAGCCUAAUGGAGUUAUUCCGAUUUUUCAAAAAAAAUAAAAUAAAAUUUCGGGAGCUAGACUCCUUUCACUAAUAUAUAUAUAUAUAUAUAUAUAUAUAUAUAUAUAUAUAUNNNNNNNNNNNNNNNNNNNNUCGUCUCUCUCUCUCUCUCUCUCUCUCUCUCUCUCUCUCAUAUGCAUGUUUCCCUGAGCUACAAUUAAUGUAUUCAUGUAUUAAAGAGGGAACGAGCAACACUACAACAAAUGUGGACUAUAAACACCAUUAACAAUGGGGAAGCACAUCUGCUGUGCCCACUAUGUCCCACGACUAGUACCGCGACACAUGUCCUCUCACUUGAUAAAGAUAUAACGCUGUUAACACAUAUUUUUUGUAAUUUAUAACUAAAUUGAUAAAUCAAUAUUUGUAAGUACUGGGUUUUUUUUAGUUGCGACUCCUGGUUUUUCUCGAUAACAACUUCGGAUCAUGAUCUUCAUAAAAAGGAAAACUGAUCGUUUUCUUCAUUUAUAAGAAAAACUUUGAGGCUUCAAUCAUCGUUUAUCAAGAAAUCCUUAUGGCUGAUUAGUAAGAUUGACGAAAGAAAAUUGUAAUGAGGUGGCUCAAAACACAAAAGGCAUACGAGAUGUUUGAAAGAGUGGUGGAUUGGAGUAUUUGAGCGGAGCAGACGGUGGUGGGCGGUGGAGGUUUCCGGCAUGGAAAAUCAAACCCAAACAAUCCAAACAAGAUUUGAUCACCUCAAUCAUUCCUCCCCAUGAAUCAACCCCUGUCAGACUUUCAGCAGCUAUAGGGAAAGGAAUAAAGAAUUAAGGGAAGGGAAUAGAUGAUGGUUUUGUUUUCUGGGUUUGUUUGAUUGUAGAUUUGGGAAACAGAAGAUGAAACGAUUUGUUCAAUACAAAAUAAAAAUAAAAAAUAGAUUUAACAUAGUUAAUUUUCUGUUAAGUGAGAGGACACGUGUCGCAGCAGUAUUCGUGGCACAUAAUGGGUACAAGGUUUUUGGGCACAGCAGAUGUGCUUCCUAAUCCGGAGAUCUUCAUUCUUUGCAUAACCAAACUUGAUGAUCUCUUGCAAGAGGCCACAUGCUCUACGUGCUAUAUAUACUCGAUAAUCCACUUAACUGGUUUUUGCUUUUGAUUCACGACUUCAUCUGCUUGGUCACCAUGGAAAAAAAAAAAUCACUAUGGCACUUAAACUAGUUGUGAUUACUUGUAUAAUUUUAACGAAAGUGAGAGUUUGUCCAAUUAAUAUGAUCACAUUUGCUAGAUGAUAUAGGACCGAUAUCUAUGUAAACAUAUGAAAAAGCAAUUACAAAUAAAGUCAUAAUCCAUUGAGUAAUAGAUUGAUUAAAAUGUAUUAUUAUAAUAUUCAAUUUUUUAUGUAUUGCGCUACAGUAAAGUGGUGUUUAUUGUGAAAAUGUUAUUGUGGGAUGACAGAAAAGAUAAGGGAUCACAGCACCGGAGAUGUAGCGAAUGACUUUUAUCAUCGUUAUAAGGUAAAUUUAAACAAAAAAUCUUCUAGUAACCUCCACUUUCUCAUUAUUUAAUAAUCAAGAGCGCACACUGAAAUAAGUUAUACUUAUAAUCAAUAAAGCCAUAUAUCGCUAUCCUUUGAAGAAGAAAAAUUAAUUGGAUGGCAAUGUAUUGUUAAGUAUUAUAUAUGCUCAAAGAUUAAGUACGUGGUUGUUAUGGGAAUGUGAUUGAUCAUCUCUUAAUAAGAGAUAUGAGUCAUCCAAUCUUAAUUAAUCAUACGGACAAAAAUUUCUCUACAUGCAUUUAAAUUUAAAUGUCGUGUAGCCGUGUGAGGUGGGACCCACCCAAAUGGAAGAGAUUCUGGCUGUAAGAUUAAGAUUAAACGAUUGAUAUUAAGAGAGGAUCUUGAUCCUAUGUUAUAUAGCUAUAAUGUCCUGUUUCGACGACUGAUGCACGAACUGAUGUGACAGGAAGAUAUCAAAUUGAUGAAGAAAAUUGGGUUGGACACCUUCAGAUUCUCAAUCUCAUGGUCCAGAUUACUUCCAAGUAAGAACUAAUUAAGAAGAUAAUGUUGUGUGACCCAUCUUAAUCAUAGAAACAACUAAAUAUAUGUCAAAAAUGGUUAAUAAUUACUUGGCAUGUUCUGAUGUUCAUGGCAACUACAUAAUUAUAUACGUACAUAUGGAUAUGUUCAACUCUUGUGCUUCUCGAUCGAUCAGAGGGAAAACUCAGCGGAGGAGUCAACUCACUCGGUGUCAAAUUUUACAACAAUCUCAUCAAUGAGCUCGUAUCAAACGGUGAACAUCUCAAUUCUGCUCUCAAUUUUCUGGCUCUAUCACAUUUACAUAUGAAUGAAAUUGCUUUCUCUAUCACAUUUCUCUUGACUAAUAAACUGUUAAGUAUUUGACAAGUUUCAUAGUCGACGAUCAUUCCUAAUUUUCCUAUAUAUUAAUUUGAUGUGAGAAUUGAAGGUAUCAAGCCCUUUGUGACUUUACUCCAUUUUGAUCCUCCCCAAGCACUUGAUGAACUGUAUGGCGGGCUCUUAAGCCGUAACAUAAUGUAAGACAACGUGUAUCAGUCAGACGGACUACCCACAUAUAUAUGUAAUUGAUCAUUAUAACUAGUAGUAACGUGAUCAUUUCGGCACUUGAUGUUUAACAGCAACGAUUACGGAGAUUAUGUGGAUUUUUGUUUCAAGACAUUUGGUGAUCGAGUAAAGCAUUGGAUCACGAUGAACGAACCUAACGGAAUUGCUAUUAACGGCUACAACGGCGGUACCAUUGCGCCAGGGCGGUGUUCUAACUACGAGGGAAACUGCACUUCCGGUAACUCAGCGACUGAACCCUACAUUGCGGCACACCAUUUGCUUCUUGCUCAUUCAGCUGCUGUCAAGAUAUACAAGGACAAAUAUCAAGUACUGUAACCCUAGCUGCAUUCGUUAUAUAUUUGAAUAUUACGAUGAAAUGAUAGAUGAAUACGUGAAUAUAGAUAUAUAACUUGAAUUAACGAACUAAUGUGAAUAUAUGAAAGCAGGCUACCCAAAAGGGACAGAUCGGGAUUACCAUAAUAACUCUCUGGUGCAAACCUAAGUUCCCAGAACAGCUGGCUAGCCGGAGAGCCACUCUUAGAUCACUCGACUUUAUGUUUGGAUGGUGAGGCUUAAAUAUUAAGACGUAAUUCUUCUGUAAAACUUCAUGUGUUGAUUUUGUAUGAAUUUUCAAUAUCUUGUAGGUUUGCCAAUCCUAUAUUUCAUGGGGAUUAUCCGGCGGUCAUGAAAUCUUUGGUCGGGGAUCGAUUGCCGAAAUUUACAGAAGCUGAGUCGAAGCAGAUAAAAGGCUCCCUCGAUUUUCUUGGGUUGAAUUACUACACAGCAUAUUACACAGUUGAUGAACCAGCUUUAUCCAACGCUGUCAACCAUAGUUGGAGUGCAGACAGACAAGUCGGUGCUUCUACUAGUAUGCAUCCAUCAAUCAUUAAUCCCCACACGUACCAUAUAUAAUAACUAAGUUCAACUGCUAUUCGAUUCUAACACAUGUAAAUCUAUUUUGUUGUCACAGCUGAUAAAAANNNNNNNNNNNNNNNNNNNNUACUUCUAUCUCUCUCUCUCUCUCUCUCUCUCUCUCUCUCUCUCUCUCUAUUGUAUAUGUUUACAAUUAUAUAUGUGGUAAACAUGCAGACUGAUCUGGAUUGGCUUUUCGUUUAUCCGAAAGGGAUCAGAGAUGUUCUUUUGUAUAUAAAGGAGAAGUACAAUAAUCCAAACAUUUAUAUUACUGAGAAUGGUAAAACGAUUGAUUCUCUUAUACAUAACCAUUACAUGAUUAAUUUUAGUAUUUUAUGUAAGCAUAUGCUAAGAUUGUAUAUAAUUUUGCAGGAUAUCCAUACGGAUAUAAUGCCUCAACACCAAUUCAAGAAGCUCGUAAGGAUAAUUUGAGGAUAAGAUACCAUCACGACCAUUUGUGGUAUCUUUUGAAGGCUAUUAAGUGAGUCACUCUCGUUCAUGUAGUGCAUGGUUUUUGGUAUAAUUUAUAAUUAGAGAUUGAGUUAAUAAUUAUUCGAUUAAUUGUUAUUGAUUGAUUUCAGGAAUGGAGUUAAAGUGAAGGGAUACUACGCAUGGUCGUUUUGGGAUGACUUCGAAUGGGAUACUGGUUACACAGUUGGGUUUGGCCUGACAUUAGUUGAUGUCAAGGAUAAUCUGAAAAGAUACCUCAAGUAUUCUGCCUAUUGGUACAAGAUGUUCCUCCUGCACUGAUAUGCUGUGGCUUAUGGAUUGAUCCAUCACCUAGCCGGCCUGCUGAUCAUAUCUCUCUAUCUACUCCAAAUAAAUUGAGCAAUAAUUUCCCAAUAAUUUAUGUCAUCUACCUAGCUAUAUAUAUGUAUCUUCAGCUAGCUCUCAUCAAUCAGAACUCUUGGUCCGCUUUAAUUGUGUUUUUCUAAUAUAAUACUAUUUGCCGUUUCAAUUUUUUUAUGGAGAUCUAUUUAUGCGCAUACUUUAGUGGGAACUACCAUAUAGUUGAAUUAUCAAUUCAAAUAGCUAGUUUUGUUUACUGUAUCAUUAUGUAAGUAAUGAAAUGAGUGUGUACUGAUAUUGAAUCCACUAUUACAAUCCUGCA
rnacentral:lncRNA from 1 species